rnacentral:lncRNA from 1 species
UGCUUUCCAUAUUUGUUGGUCUUCCUUUUAAUCACUGUAUCCAUACUUGCUAUUGGACUAUGAAUGUGUAGUUCUAGACUUUGAGGUAAUUAAAUGAUCCUCUUUGUCGUUCAAAUGCACAUAGUUUUGUUUUCUUGCUUUAUUUGUUCUUAGCUCACUGUGCUUUCUUGCUUAUUGUAUAUGUGAUCCCACUUGCUUAUGGUGUAGCAUGUACUAAAUCAUCCUUCUUUCGCUAAUAUCACUUUUUUACUAUUACCUAAUAAGGUUCUUUUCUUUUUUUUUUCUGUUUGUCUUCAAGGACAGUAGAGCCACAUGUUUAUUUUUUCUUUAUCAUAAUUGACCCUUCGUGUCAAGCUAAACUCAAGCACAAAUACUGAUAUUGAUCAUUGAGAUUGAUGUACUGAUUGUUUGCUAGUCAGGAGAAACUCAAUUUUCAGGUCUUUCCAUAAGUUUUUUGAAAUAAAAAUUGAAGGUAAGAAAUGUAGGCUAUUGCAGAGCUCCUUACCUAUGUGACCACUGCUAGUCGAUUGUUGUGUUAAUAUAUCAGUCCAUUUAUCAUCUAGUUCGUGUAUGGAUAUCAUUUGAAUGCACUGCCAUGUGAAUGUCGUUUAAUAUCAUCUAUAAAAAAUAUGUUGUAGCAAAGGUCCUUUUUCCGUUCACUAGAUACAAGCGAAGUUGAUCACUUCUCAUAACCUUUAUGAUAUCGAAUUUCACCGAUUUUCUCAAGCAAGGCAUAUCAUAUAUUAAUCUGAACAACUGGUUGGAUAGAGCCCUAAAUGACCUUUCUAUCCUGGAUUCAGCUUACAUCUACAUCAGGAUCAAGUACCUGCACAAAUAGGAGGGAUGGUGUAAAGGUUCAAAAUUUUCCAGUUCACUGAACCGAAGAAUACUCAGGUUAAAUACUUCGAUUCCAUGUGAAAUAUCAAUCUUUGUAAAAAAAUUUGAGAUAUUCUUUGCCAACGAAAUCAGUGAGGACGUCACUAUGAGUCCCUGGAUGCGUCAGAGCUGCUUUUGGGAUCUUCUUCUUAAGCCUGGUUUUUGUACAAUGAACCUCAGAGAUGCAGGGUAUGCCACAGGGUAGAGUGGUUGUGCCUAGUGAAGCAGUUGUGCUGCUUCUGAGCUGUGGAAAUGGAUGGCAUUGUGAUGCAGGGAUGGAAGACAGAAGAGAAGACUCUAUCACUGUAAAUCUAGAUUGAGUUGGUCAGGUUUCUAAUACUCGGAUUAUCUAAACCUUCACCGCCAUGAAGUCUGCUUGCUGUAAAUCUCUUUCUUUAAUCCUAGUUGCCUUGAAUUAGUAGUCUGCUACAUGGUGUAUUAAGGUGGCAGCUGUUAGAAGAAAUAUUGUCGACAGAUGUUGGAAUUGGAAGACAGAAGAGAAGACUAAGUCCCUAUGUAUAAGACACUAAAACAAUGGAGGAGAAACUGAGGUUAUUCACUCAGGGGAAGGAGCUCAUCCAGGAUGGAGUCAUUUACUCAAAUUUUAUGGGUUGAUGAUAAAAUGAGGUUAACCGAUAAAUGUACAUGCUUGCCUGUAGUAUGUAAGGAUGGGUGAAAAUAGUUUUCCAUUUCAAUCAUGCUGCUCACUCUUCUUUCUUUUCAUUAAGGGUAUUGACAAUCUUAAAAUUAGUAUAUCUACUAGAUAGAUUUUAUGAAAUGGCAAUCACAAUGGAUCAACCUCUCAUUUGACUCACUUGCCAUUUUGGUUAUAUAUGCUUCUUCAUGGAAAGCAGAGAGUUCCACAGUUUCGUGAAUAUUGUGCAAAGGUCAAAGAGCGCAUAGGGGAUGCAUCCGGUGCACGUAGUUCUUUGCAGUACAGCGAUACAGAGUUACUGUCCAAUUUUGUUGACAACAUCAAUCAACAAGCAAACAUGGAAAAGCGUCUUGUAAGAAAAUUUCUUGUAUUUAGUUGAAACAUCAUCCAGGUAAAAUUGAGAUGAUCAUUGAUAAGUUCGUUUUUCAGGGAAAUAUUGGAGCAGCUUAUUCAAUCUACGAUAAUGCAAUUCAAAUGCUUAAAGAUAAGGAGGAUCUGCACGUUUUUUGUCUUCUCCAUCUGCACUUUGCCAGAUUUGCUUACUUGGUGGGGACUUUAGUACAGUUUGAGAGAAAUUAUCUUCUCACGUUAUAUACUUGCACACUACUAAAAUGCCUGUGACAUAACCACGUUACAAGACUGAAGAAUGGACUUUAUUCUUGACAUGGAUAGUUAUUUUAUACUGGGGCUCAUAAAACGCCGUAGUACAUUUUUCAUUUUCUUUCUUGAAUAAUUAAAACUGAUUUCUAAGUAUAUUGGUUGUUUCUGUUUACUUUCUACGUGAACAUCAAGCUCGCGUUAAAAUGAGUGCAACUGAACCUAAUGUCUUGAUAAUCUAAAUUUAAUAAUGAUUUCAUUGGACAGCUCAGAAUGUGCCGACUUGCAAUAGGUUUAGGUGUUAAACAACAUCUGUUGUUUAUAUAUAUCAUGUCUAUGGUAUGAUUCGUUUGUGUCGAACAUUGUCUCAAAGGAUUUCGCUGUAUUUCCUCGGUUUGAAGAUGAAUCAAAAGGUGGAAUCAGAUUGCGACUUUGAUAUUCGUUCUUUGGAUGAGGACUUUGGAUGAAUUUUAUGGUAUUUUACUCAAUUCAAGGAGAUUUCUUCUCCAGGUGCAUUGUAUCGUUUGUUCAGGCUUGCCAUACUGAAAAUAAUAAGCAUAUGUUCUCUCCACCUUAUUUACAUUUCGUUGGUAUUUCUGUAGUCUCCUUUUGGCAUGGUCUUUUGAUGGCUUAUUCUUUCAUAAUAAAGUGAAUUUUCCCUGCCUUAAUAGCCUAGGGCCACUCUUGAAUUUUUCUAAGUCCUUCGUGAAAGGGAAACUUUCUAUUUUUUUUGGCGUUUUCCUUAGGGAAACUGUCUGUUUAUUUGAGUCUGUCAGUCAGGUCUCCAAUAACAAAAAGGGAGUCUCGUCUUCAUUGUAAACACUUUUGAAUGAAUGUGGCUUAUGGGCCUAUAUCCUGAAUGAUUAACUGGGAUACUUAUCGGAGACAGUGUGAGGUUAUGCUCUAGUUGAUUCAGUAAUAACAAUUCUACAAUGAAGGAUACUCUUAUUAAGAAUUUUCUUGAGAGAGAACGGUAUUCCAUUUCAUUAGGAUUAUCCGUCAGCUUAAAAAUAUAUUUUCAUUUUACCUUUAGUUCAUGAACGUGUCUGGAAUUGUUCCCAGCUUACUUUAGCACCGCUGAAUAUUUAUAAUAAAAUGAAUUUAAUUGUGUAAACGUUCAGGGAAUGUAAAUACUUUGAAAGAUGAUUCAAUUAAGAGAAAUAAAGAUCCAUUGUCAACAUGGUAUCAGAGAAAUCUGUUGUCAGCAUUGUCAGCAUUGUCAGCAUGGUAUCAAUUCUCUGUGAAUAAGCGUGAUCCCAAUUAAUCGAAAAGAAUGCUUUCAAUAAGAGUAAUCUGUUGUAUUUGGUGCACAAAAUUUAGUUCGAGUUCUCAAUAGGUUUGGAUCAUUAAUUGCUUUGUUCCUGCUUCGGAAUUUCAUGACAAUAAUGUACAAGGAGACAGUUGGCAAUUGGGAAAUAGUUGUCAUACUCAUUAUCCUGAUCAUCUUUGGACUGAAUUCUACUUAUAUGUCUAUUGCUUUUCUGACCUAGAGUUCCACAUAAUUAUUCUGCUUGAUUUGUCCUGGCUAAAAAUAAAACUUAAUAAAAACAGAAAUCAGUUCAAAAUAUUUAUGUUAUCUGAAGUCCAUUCACGUCGUCAAUUACCGUGUACAUUCACGUUGACCAAUUGAAAGUGAUCAAUCUCAAAGCUUCCUGAGGAAAAAAUAUGAUAGUAAAAUUAUAUAUCCACGGAUGAUUCAUUUUUUUGUUACUACCGGUAUGUUCAAUAGAAUUAAUUUUCGAUUUUUCUCAUGCCUAUUAUCUUUCAGGUAACUGGUGAAUUAGGUGCUGCCAGAGAGGUUUUUAUCAAAGGGAUAUCAAGGGCACCUCACUGCAAAUCACUUUUUGAGGUUAUAUCAUUGAUCUCUUUUUGUGUCAAUUAAAUUCGAUUCCUGGCCCCCGUUUCUCUCGUCAACAAACGUUUUUCUCCAAAGGAUUUAACAGUCUGGUAUCAAAAGCAGGGGUGUUAUGAAAUGCAUGCUGUUCAAUAGAAGGCUACUUUAAAGUAUUUUGAAGUGUAUAUAUUUAAUUAAAAAAUUGUAUGUAAAAUCUGCAUUUCGAAUUUUUUUAAUGGUUAUAUUUUUUCAAAAAUCAUAUAUUAAAUUACCGCAGUUAUGCUUUUAAACUUUUAGUUUGAAUUUUCCUUGUUCUCAAAAUAUUAAGUCCCUAAGAAAUUACAUGUGUGUGCUUGUUAAAGAAGGAAUAGCCAUGCUAAUUGCAAGAGGGGCAAGGACGAAGAAGAGGAAGGAAAGGAAGUUAAACGAAAAACGAUCAAAACAUGACAAAACAGCAAAAGGGCACCUUUACGAAUCAUAUUUUUUGCCCUUUUAAGGGCAGUCAGUUCCUAUGUUUCUGUUCUUAUUAUAUGAUUGAUUAUUCUGUUAUGAUCUUUCUCCAGCAUUUAAUUUUUCUCCGAAGUACUUUGACUGGCAACUAGAUUAGGAAAUCUACAGCUUUACGGUUCUUAAAGUCAUAGUUACAUGAAUUUUUGGUGCUCUCUGCUCGUAAUCGGGCCAUCAAGUUCUUUACUAUUUUUUUACUUGUACAGGGAUUAAUUACAUUUAUGUCUAUCCAUGGGGGGACAGGAGAAAUUGGUUAUGUAGAUUCUAUUGUGGAACGUGCCAUAGUUCCAGAAUCAGGUGUGUCACUUGCAUUAAGCCUUACCGACAGAAGGGACGUGUCUAAUUUGUUUUUGCAGGUAUGCCAUCCUAUGCCAUUUGUAUUAUUCUGCCCUUUCUGUUUCAAGGAAAAUAGCCACUUCCCAUAAUACCUCACUAAAAAUGAAUCGUUUGCUGGGGUGGGGCCAUAUAAAGUAAGCAAAGCAGAGCUUUCUUCUUCCAGUUUCCAACGCACCAUGUGACGCUAGGGGUACUUAUAAUGCCAGAUAUCUCUGCAAUAUUUUUCAGUCGAUUUUGGAUUACCUAGUGAAGGUUUGAUUAAAAUCUUUGCGCCGCAGUGUCACUAAACAUGAAUUCUCAGAGGAUGCAGCAGCCAUUAAGACUUUCGUUUAAGAAUUUAGGGUUUUGUGAUUAAGAUUUGGGCUUUUCAAAGUUGAUGCUGGAUUUGCCGUGGAUCUGUCCUAUGAAGUUAAUGAUCCACUGUUAGACAGUUUCUACAGAAUUCAUCUCAAUUGAUAAAGCUGUGCUAGUUGGGCUAGUGAUUCUAUUUCUGUGCAUCUUGGAAUCAUUUUACUUUUUAUGAGGGCGUCAUCUUCUCCAGUACAGAAACUAUAGUGUGAUUUGUGGGUCAGCAAAAUAUUGCACAGCGAAUAACGUUGCACAGUGACCAACCUUAGGCCGGUAUGGGCACGCAGAAAUGGAGGGGCUGUUGAUCUGAUGGCAUGAUAUUAUAGUUACCCGCCUCGGCCUUAAGCUUCAUAAUUGAUGUUGAUGUGUGCCAUAUAUACAUGGGUUUAUUAUUAUUAUUAUUAUUAUUAGUUCACCCUUUAUCACAGGAUCUGAUUCACUGACAUUCAGCCUUGUGGGUAGCGAAUCGCCGUCAUUGUCCAGGUGACUAUGUGUAGAUAUUUUAGUGUAAUUUUCUCAUAGAGAGUUAUUUUCCAAACAGUUUGUGGACCUUUGUGGGACGAUCCACGAGAUCAGAAGGGCCUGGGCUCGACACCUGAAGCUGUUUCCACCUGCACAAGAAGCUGCUCCACUCGGUCGCCGUGCCGACGGUCCUGAGCUUUUGGAGAAGACCAAGGAGCUGACUGGUGCAGGAGACCCCGAUCUUAAGCCUGGGACAGGUCAUGCAGAUAGAGAGGCAUCAACUGAAGAAGAUGAUGCCCGCUCUUCAAAGAGAAAUCUUCUCCUCCUGCAGGAGGGGCCCGCUGCACCGGCCACCAAGUCUCAUCCAGCCGUCGCUGGUGACAGUACAGAGGGGAGCCCAGACCGUUCGCGGCUCCCCAGUGAAGAAGAGGAGCAGGCUAAUCGUUUUCAGGCUAUUCGGCUGCCUGCAGGCGCCGCUGUGCUGCAACAGGAAGCUCAUUCCUUCUCUUCUCUUGGUCCUGCUGCUUGCUCCGUACGCGGCGGAGGGGAGCGAACCCCACCGCUGCCGGGCUGCAAGACUCAGGACGAUCUAAGACCAUCUCUGGAGAGCCUUUCCAUAUGUCUUCCUGAUGAAGGUCAGGAAUCCAGCCCGAGCUCUCCUCGCAGAGGCCAUGGAGCUCCUCAGCCCCCCUGUGGGGAGAGCGGGCGCGAUGUUUGCAGUGACAGUGAGGCUAAAACAGCCCAACACAGGGCAUCUACAAUGCCAGCUACACCGAACAGUCGCACGCCGGAGCAAAAUCUUCGCCAAGAAAAAGUAAACGCCUUUGACAUAAGCCAACUGCCUGCAGAAGAGGCCGCUGAUCCCAAAUAUCCUCGGACCUCUGAAUGGCACUAUGGCGGGCAGCCCUCUGAGCUUCAACCCAGCUUAUCUGGAUAUGCCCAAACUCCACAGCAUCAGCAAUGGCAGGUUCCUAUGCAAUUUCAGUAUCUUCCGUACUCUGGAUUUAAUCCACAAGCUCCCCCACCUCAGGCAUACGCGUAUCAGCCACAGUUUUGGCAGCCAAAUAUCCAAAUGCCCGGCCAGAUUCAGGGCCAGUAUCAGAUGACUGCGGGCCAGGGAUUACCUCCCUGGCCCAUGUUCUGGCAAGCACAGAGUCUACCACAGAGCGGUGGAGAUGGAAGUCAGCAUCAAAUAUAUCAAUAUCAUUUGCAGGAUGGCCACGCUAUCUCCCCUGAGUUCUGGCAUUACUACCAGCAGCAGCUGUAUUAUAUGCAGCAUCUGCAGCAAGGUAGCAUCCAGGUGCAGCAGAAGCAGGAGCCUGGCCCGCAGCAGAAAAACGCUCCGUUGCAGCAUGAUCCUCUGCGACAGCAACAACAAGAGGAGCAACAUCAAGAGCAGCAUCUUCAGCUGAACAUCCUUCAGCUGCGGCAUCUACAAAAAAAAAUGGAAAUGGAUCAUUUGCAGUGGCAGGGCCAGCAACAGGAGCUUCGCCAAGCCCAGGAUUCGCAUUUGCAGCAUCAUUCACAGCCACGAUGCCAACCAGACGACUCACCUGAGUCUUCACCCACGCAGGAUCCUCCAAAAACACGACAAGACCAGCUAGAGCAGUAUGUGCAGCACCAAUCCAUUCAGCAGAAGGAUCGGAUGAUCCUGAGCCGCCAGGAACAUCAACAGCAGAUGUACUUGCCACAGCUGCAACAACAACUGCAGAAGCAGGAGAUCGGGACCUUGCGGGAUGCUAAGACCUCGAGAGAGAGUUACAAUUUAGAGGUAUCUAUCACCUGUCUUGUCUUCGUGCUAUAUUGCAGCCGAGUCUUGGAAUCAGUUUCGAAAAUUUUGACCUAAUUCCCGACGUAAAAAUCUUCUUAGGAUAUUGAAUGCUCUCUUCUCCUGAUAUAAUGUCCUAGCUUCUUCGAUUGAGUAUCAGCUGUAUGCUUCUGUGAAUUCAAAAAAGAUUACAUCACCGGCGCAUGAAUAGAAACUAAUUGGGCCAUGUUGCUCUUCAGAUUCAAGCACCCACUCGAGUUGCCGAAGAAGACGGCGCUGUUCAUCCAAUACCUGAGCCGCCGAAUGCCCCGAUCCAAUGACCCGCAGGUGGGAGAGCAGCUUUGCAUUGGCUUCAUUUGUUACAGUGAGGUCCGCAUCCGGCCUUCGUUGCCCAAGUUCAGACCUCUGGUCCGCGGAUCGUCCGUCAUCCAGCAGAUAACUCGCGAUUUGAAGGCCAUUCUGAAUCUGGCAGAAGCAGCGUCGCCGUUCGAAGCCGCUGAAGCAAUCUCCAAGCCCGCGCCGAGGAAGAGCAGCCGAGCUUCUCCGAGAAAGGGGGCUCAUCGGGCUUCGUCUUCUGGCAGAGCUCCUCCCGAGUUCCCUCUUUCUUUUACUCGGACGACUGAACUGGACCCCGCGGCCCUCAAAUCCCCUAUAAUUGUUGGAUCGACCCCCCUCGCGGGGAUGGAAACGCAAUGAUCUUCGAUGCGAGGGGCUUUCCUGCAAGGAAGACCCGAAGAGCGACCCGGAUGGGAAUAGUCAACGCUCGCAGGGCCCCCGAUUAUCUCUCUCCGCGCCCCCCCCUUUGACUAUCUCCACACACUCCGAGGAACGGCGCCUCCCGGCGGAAUCCUGCGGCAGAUUCUCUCCCUCCCUACUCCGGUCCGGCCCGUUGAAGAAGAGGAAGGGUCGUCCCCAUCGAUCCCCACUCAGCAGAUCCGAAUAUGCCGAGGAAUGCUCUCUCUCUCUCUCUCUCGCGCGCGCGCGCGCGCGCUCGCUCGCUCGCUAGCACUGCGUCGGCGAGUCGACCCCGUCCUCCGGCCGGCUGCACAUUGAACACCCGCGGCAUAUCCCCGGGCAUAUUCCCGGGGGAGCCCCAGCCGGUCCUGCUGCUGCUCCUCCCCCCAACUUGCUCUUUGAAGACGACGCCGUGCCGUACUGUGCCGUGGGAGCAGCCAAUGCGGGGGGGGGGGAGGGCCAUUUAGGAUCGAUCCCCUCCUCUCUGACGACGGCGGCGCCCUCGUCCGAGCUCGCCUAGGGCGCGGGGUUCUUCCGGCUGGCUGGUCGAGGCGGCGGAGGAUGAAGUUCGGGAAGCGGCUAAAGCGGCAGAUCGAGGAGACGCUGCCGGGGUGGCGGGACAUGUUCCUCUCGUACAAGGAUCUGAAGAGGCAGGUCCGCCUCAUCUCCUCCGACGCGCCGGGGAGGGCGUUUUCAUCGCCGCCGGGGAGGGCGGCGGUGUUGGAGUUCGUCCGCAUGCUGAAUGCCGAGGUGCACAAGCUCAACGUCUUCUUCAUCGAGCAGGAGGAGGACUUCGUCAUCCGCCACAAGGUAGGGGAGGAGAAGAGAUUGCUGGACGGCGGCCGCGGUGCUUCCUUCUCCUGAUCCGGAUCGGUGGUCUCUCCGCGCAGGAGCUGAGAGACAGGAUACGCGCCGCGGAGGAGACGGUGGGGCCUGGGAGCGCACGGCCGUCGGCGGCGGAGUACGCGGCGGAGAUGGGGAGGAUCAGGAGGGGCCUCGUCGACCUCCACGGGGAGAUGGUUCUGCUCGUGAACUACAGCAACGUCAACUACACGGGUCCUCUUCCUCUCUGAUCCUCGUCAACAUAUCUCAGAUCCUUUAGAUUCUUUCCUCGCUCGUUCUCCAAGUUUUUCUAGCAGAAUUGGCAAUUAUCGUCGGCGAUGAUGAGGAAUCAAUCGAAUCUACCCUGGCCGCGACAGGGCUGGCGAAGAUCCUGAAGAAGUACGACAAGCGGACCGGGGAUCUGCUGAGGCUCCCGUUCAUCGAGAAGGUGCUGACGCAGCCCUUCUUCACCACGGACCUCAUUUCGAAGCUGGUGAAGGACUGCGAGAGCACCAUGGACUCGGUGCUCCCUUCCCCGCCGCAGAAGAACCUGGAGGGGAGGGAGCGCAGAGCCAGAGCAGUGGCCCUCCCGCAUCGGCGGCCCGCCGGAGUAUCGUCAGGAACACGGUCGCCGCCCUCGUGACGAUGCAGGAGCUGCGGCGAGGGAGCUCCACUUACGGGCACUUCUCCCUCCCCCCGCUGAGCUUCCCCGAGACAGAUCUGCUGCAGGCCCUUCAGCUCCCAUCGCUCAUCUCCAUUCAGUGAGUGAGAUCCAUGAAGAAGCGACCCAUUUUAGCAGACACCCCCCCCCCCCUUCUGGUUCCAGACGACGGGGCGUGACGGAGGAAAAUCAGGGUCGCCCGGAGAAAGGAGAGGCCUUGUUAUCGACAGUCAGUAGUUCUUCUUUCGACGUGCUCGUCGCGGGAUGGGGGCUCUGAAUCGCCUCCCCCUUUGCUCCCCAUUAACGCGCUGGUUACUGGAAGAAGAAGACCUCCCUCGGUUGCUGGUAGCCGUGUUGCAACUAAUUAAAUGAAUAUUAUUUUUAUUCCGAUAUCUUUCAAAUCUAGAUAUUUUCCGAAUAUUUUCAAAUCUAGAUAUCUUUCCUCCAUUUUAUUAAAACUUGUUUAUUUUUUAACUGGAAGAUGGGUUUUUUUUAUUCUGCGAGAUAAGCGCCCACUUUUUAUACUUUCUUUGAUUGUGAGCCUUCACGAGUACUGGUGGCUGGCGCUUGAGAACCUCCAACUUGACAUGGUCAACAGUCAAGGUUAGGCGCGUGCAUGGAUGAAACCACAAAAACGGGUCCAAACUAGAUGACGUUCGUCCACCUGUCGCUUCCACAUACGCGUAUGGGUAAGUUGACCCAAGAGAGAGAGAGAUGGUGACGUCACUUCGAAGUUGAGUAGGCUGCAAGUCAUAGCAUCCACAAAAGGUAGCUACUCAAUAAAGGUCGGAAUCGUCAAAGUGGUGCAAGCAUGUUGUGGGUUUUGCUUCUAUCAGAAUUCAUGUAUCUUUUUUGUAGUUUCAAGAAGAAGGAAAAAAGUUGCAUCUUUUGCAGCCUAAAGGGUAGAACAAGCCCAACCCAUGUUGCCAAUUUUCGUACAAUUGAUAUUUUCAAUAUAUUUUUUUAUUGAAUUUUAGGUCGUCUAACUACAUAGUGGUUUCCCAUCCCAUGUUGAAGAUUAAUCUUUUGUUAAAAAAUAAAAUGGCUAGCAAAAUAUUUUGCAUUAAUCAUAGGAAACCAAGAAGUCAACUAAAUUAGUUUCAUUAACUUUUUCAUUGAAUGCAUGUUGGGCUUAUUGAGGCCAAAAAGAAAGAGGGUAGGGCUAUUUAAUAUUCGGCUUUCAGAUGGGUAAAGUUGGAAAUAAAUUAGAUGUAACAAAUAAGGAACAUUAUAAUUUAGGUAAAGUGGGCUCCCUAUCGACAAUCAAGGUGAUAACACAAGUGUUGCUCAUAAUCUAUAUUGGUUCCUGUUUUAUUUCCCCACUCAACUCUUUACAAAUGUUUUGUCCUAGCUCAACAUUGUUAGGAACUCUUUACUUAAAGCCGCUGGUUGCCACUAAGAGAUUUUUACCUCUGUAGAGAAGAUAGUCUAUGAAAAAAAGCUAAGUUGAACCCUCAAGCAUUAGUUCCAAACCUUCAUUUUAGUUUGACGUAUUAACAUAGAAUAUAAGUUGUUGUGUUAGCUUCAGCACCCAAAAGCAUUAUUCAAUGAGAACUGAUUUGGAGAACCAUUUACUUGUCAUUGUUAAGGUUCAUAAUUCUCCUCAAAGCAUUAUACAACCUAGAUUGAGCUUUACAUAAUUACCUAUUGACUGUUUCUUCUCUCAUAUAUUCUGAAUUUUAAAGUUCCUCCUAUGAAAACCUCACUAUAUUUCAUUAACAACUUUCUGUUGUACAACCAUUCUAUUGAUAUCUUCUAAUCUUGGUCAUUGUCUAUUCAUGAUGUCAAAGCAUAGACAUACUUAUACUAUCAUCAAAAGUGUGGCUUAGUAUACUCCCAUAUUGUAUAAUGCCAUCUUACACUCUAUAAUGCCAUCUUAAAAAAUAUGGAAUCAAAGGUGUGGCUUAGUAUACUCCCAUAUUGGUGGAGGAUCUUUUUAUAAUUCUCAUAUGUUAAAAUUUAGAAUAAACUUCUCAUAAGUUAAAGCAAUGACAUUAAUACACUCUUUCAACUAUAAAAGCACAAAAAAACAUUUUUCUAUCACUCUUUUUUCAUCAACAAAAUUUAUUUGGGUCUCAAAACCUCAAUAAUAUAGUGUCAUAUUUGAAGUCAAUAUCUAUUACACAAUCUUAUAGGGUUAAGAUUUUUAAAAUAAUUGCAAUAUCAAUUCCAUAUUUUUUUAUAGAAAUUAAGGAAUAAUGAUUUUAUAGAAGGAACAGUCUAUUAGAAAUCUUUAAAACUCACAUAAUAAUGGUACUCAGUUUUAAAGUUAACUUAAUUAUACAACAUUGGAAUUGCAAGGAGAUGAAAAAUUAGCAACUAGAAAUCUCAAAAUUUCUAGGUAAAGGAAGAACCAUCAAACAAUAUUAUUGCUUAAUACUAUACCAUUAUCUCAUACAUCAAUAAAACUUUUUCAAAGAAAAUUGAAGCCUUAUCAGUUAUUUCUUAUCAAUUUAUUUUUUAAUAAAAAUAUUUAUUAUUUAAUGUAAGUUAAAAUUUUAUUUUUUAAAUUAUUUGUGUUUGUUCUACUCAUUUUGAAUGAAAUUAAAAUUCACUUUUUCUUGGUUGUAUAAAUAAUAAGAAGUAAAGCCUCUAUUGGUUCUUAUGGAGGAUAGGGAGAAUACAAGGAGGUAGGAGUAAAUUAUUUCUUUAAAUUAUUUUCAAAUUUUGGUAUUUAAUUAUUUCUUUUAGUUCUACAUUAGGUGAUUUGGCACAUACUCAAGUUAAGUCAAUGUAGACUAACUUGGAUCGACAUAAUAUUGAGGUAAUUGUUGAGUUAAUGAUUUUGAUGUUCACAACUAAUCAUGAAAAGAAAGAAGAAUUAUUUUACUAUGCUGGUGUAUAGAUCAAGAUCGAAAUCAUUACAUCUAGUCAUUUAUAUUUUUAAAAUAUAAUUUUCUAGAUAUACUAUUACUACAUUAAUGUUGUGGAUCAAGAUCUAAAUCAUUAUAUCUAGUCCUUUAUUAUUGUUAAAAUAUAUCUUAAGAAAAUAGAUAUCAACUACCACAUAACUGAGAAGAAAAAUAAAUCAGAUUACAAAAAAAUUAGAAAGAAAAAGAGGAGAGAAAAAAGUUUCUACUCACAAAUCUGUGUCAGCCAUCAAGAAAUGAAAAAGAAAUAGACACUAGGCUGACUUAGAAAACCUUGUGUCAACUCAAGUAGAAUUGGGAAAGAGAGGUGAUUCUUGAGCCAAAAAUAUUUGUGGACAGAUUCAAAAUUGAGGAAUAAAAUGAAAGUUUUCAGACCUAAAAAAGCCUAUGUUGACUCAUCCAAAAUUGAGGAAGAGAAAUACAGUAUCAAGUCAUAAAUGCAUGUGUCAAUCCAUUAAUAGAUGUCCCAUCCCAUCCAAAACCAAAAAGAGAGGAAGUGUGUAAAACAUGUCCUAAGCAAGAAAAGUUAAGCCAUUCAACCUAAAGGAAAAGAAGAUUUGACUCACAUAAAAUGCAUUUUGACAUAUCAAAAGAUCAAAGAGUUCAAAAAGUUGGUCAGCAAGUUGGACAAACUAACUUUCGUGUAGUCUUACUAGUGGGUCAAUGCAAGUUUUGACCUAGGUAAUUUUUGAUCAAUCAAAUCGUAGAUGUUGGGAUUGUAUAAAUAAACCUUCACAUGAUCUUUCAAACUUAAACUUAACAAUUUCUCAAUUUCACCAUAAAUUCAGAAAUUAUUCUUAAAACUUUUACCAAAAGUGCAUCAUUAUCAAGGUUUUGUCAAGUGUUUAAUCAUUAGCAACAUCAAGUAGGCCCAUUCUCUUAGAAUUUGUAUUGAAAUAUAACUUCUCUAAGCAUAAAUUUAUAUGAGAAGCACUUUUGUCUUUCCAAUGAGAAAAUUCAGAAAUUUGAGUAUUAAUUCAUUCAAAAAUUACGUAAAUUAGAAUUAGGAAAAGGACUGCUCAAUCUAAAACUAGAUGAGGAUUUUCAUUGUGGCAUGUAGUAGACCGAAACACAUUAGGACAAGUUAUUAACCAGAGUAUAUGGUCAAAACUAGGAAACCUUUGGAAUUGUUGUAAAUGGAUUUCUUUAGUCCAACUAAGGCAUAAGUCUUAGUAGAAAAAUAUUUGGGUAUGCAAUCAUUCAUGAUUUUUAUAAAUUUACAAGGGUAAUUUUCUAAAAAGAAGCAUAAUUAACUCAAGGCAUUUAAGAAAUUUAACCAAAAAUAAUAAUAAUGAAAAUAAAUUGAAGAAUAAAAUUAGACAUGAUCAUGAAUGACAAUUUAAAAGUUUAAAUUAUUGGGAAAAAAAUUGGUAAUCAAAGAAAACCCCAUGAAUUUUCUAGUACACCUCAACAAAAUGGUAUUAUGGCUUACCACUAUCCUAAAUAAUUUUCUACUGAGGAGAUAAAUGGUCUAUUAUAUCAUGAAUAGAAUUGUGAUUGAGCCCCUAGUCAAGACAAUUUUUUUGUGAAUUCUAUUAAGGAAAGAAACAAAAUAAUAGUUACUUUUACUUUUUAGAUGCAAAUUCUUUACUUUGAGGACAUAGAAAAUUUUGAUUCUAGAAGUAAUGAAAAAACUAGAGUAUUGUGAAAAUUCACUUUUACAGUUUACAAUAAAUUAUAGGUUAGGAAACAACAAUUAAGAAUUUUAUAAAAGAAAUAGAAAAAAUUUUAGUUCAGGAUGAUGUGGAAUUAUUUGAAACUAAGGUUUAAGAUAUUCAAUUAGUGAUGAUGUGAUGCUCUCCGAACUAUAGGAAAAUAUAGAAAAGGAGAGGUUUUUAAGAGAAGGAAACUAUGUCAAGAUUCAUACAAUUAAUCAAAUUUUAGGGGAUUUUAAGAAAGGACUCUAAACUAGAUCAAGAUUUAAAAUUAAAAUAAUUGUGCAUUGAUUUCUAAAAUUUAGCCAAAAAAUGUUGAGUAAGCUUUAGAGAGUGAGAAUUAGAUUUGAUCACAAAAAAAGAGUUUAAUCAUUUUAGGUUGGUAAUAUUUGAACCUCACUCUCUAGGAUAUUCAAUAUGCUUGUCAUAGGAACAAAUUGGACUGUCAAAGAUACACCAACUUCACAUAAAUCUCGAAUAUGGAAUCUAAAAGCUAAUAUGUGUGUGUUUUACGUGGAUCAAACGAUGGCCCAAGCGUCGUUGGAUUGAUUUGAUGUCAAUAAUAAAGUUGCUUAUCCAUAAGAGAAGAAAAUGCAUUUCAAAUUUCAAAUCAGAUAGACAAAAGAAUGAAAUUUUUUGAAUCAAAAAAUAUAAAAAGUUGUUACCUACAUAUUCUAAAAAAUGGAAAUAUUUAGAAUUAAUUUUUUAAUAUCUAAUGACAGAGUCAAAGAAAGAAACCACUAGAGGAUGACACUUAUAACAAAAAAGAGGGUUUAGAAAAAAAGAACAUAUCUCUACAACAAUUUACAAUGUAUAUCUUUCAAAUUUCAUUCAUUAUGAACUUUAAUGAAGGACAUAAUAUUACACUUGAUCUUCUUAUGAUAUAAUGCUACAUUCAAUCUUCUUAUGACAUCAAUUUUAAAGAUUUAUACUCUCCAUCAGGCCCUAAGGUAAUUAUGUGACAAGGGCAGAGACAUUUAGGCAAAGGCAUAAAAUAUUUGUAGUCAUUUUUUGUCCUAAAAAAUUGUGGUACCUAAAGAGACUGAAUUAAAGUGGUUAAAAGGUUAAGUCCUUAAAUGAUAGUAUAUAUUUCCUAAAUAAAGUAGUGAAAUAUGAUAUAAAGGAUCUUGUGAAAUUGAAAGUAGUUAAGUGAGUAAUGAACUAGUAUAAAAAUUCUGAUUUUAUAAGUGAGAAAGAAGAAUCGUGAGAAUACCACAUAGAGAAAGAGAAAAUAUACAUAGAAGAAAAAAGAGAUGUUAGAGAACCCAUGUCAACAUAUUUAUCAAUAACGAAAAGGCACAAAUCAACAAAAAUCUAUAAACACUCAAUUCAACCCUCUCUUUUUGUAUUUCAUCUAUCAUGUUACUUUUUAUAAAUAAAGGAUCAAUUUAUUAGAAAUUUCAAGUCAUACUUUUCCCCUAAUUACACAUUUGAAUGAUUAAAUAUAAACAUGACAUCUUUUAAGGGCUUAGAUAUCAUUUUUUUUACUCCAAUAAUACAAUAAUUACACUGCUAACAUAUAUUUGAAGGUAUUAGUUUAUGCAUACUUGUAAGAGUCUUCACAUCAGCAUUCAACAUCAAUAAAUUACCAAAUUUUAAUACUUCUAGCGGAAUAGAUUAAUGAUUCAAAUAGUAUUCAAAGUAUCAUUAAUUUAAUUCCAAAGAAAUUGAUCAAAUCAUGAAUGGAAAAUAUUCAAAGUAUUUUUUUAAUUAAUAGACAUCAAGUAUAAUAUUUUAACUUUCAUCUCAAUACGUUACUUCAAUCAUUUGAAAAUUCUUAGAUGACUAGAUUAUGACUUUUUGGUAUCAUUUUAGUAAUUUUCAUCAAGUACAAUGAUGCUAAGGGAAGUAAUGAUUCCUAGUCAAUUUUCAAUCAUUAUAUUGUAUUUCAACUCAUGCAUGUCAAACAUAAUCAUUGAAAUAUCAUCUUAAUACUUAAUACAACUAAAAUCUAUUACAAAUAAUUUUAAAGUCAAUAUCAUUGAAUCAUAUGCCUAGUUCUUGCAGAAAGGAUAUGUUUUAGAAUUAUAAUCACAAUUUCUUUAAUUAUUUUUGUAUGCAUGUUUUUCCUUAUCAAAAAUUUUUUGAGACAAUUAAGACUCCUAAAUUAAAUAGAAUCCAUAAUAAUCAAAAUGGCGUGUUUUUGAGUAGUUGCUUGAACUAAAAAGCAAAGAUAAAUCUUAAAAGAGAAUGAAAAUUGAAUUAUUAUCAUCCUCCUUAAAUGUUAUAACAUAUUGGCCUUUAAAUAGUCUUUUGUCAAUUUUUAUUCUCUUAAAAAAUCUGAUUGAUGAACGAAUUUACAUUAAAUCAAAAUACUAUGAAACAUACUUUCUAAUAAUAUAGAUAUGGCAUUGUAUCCAUGCAGACUUUUAUUGGCUUAUUUUAAUUUGAACUUAAACUCAUUUAAUGACUUUCAACCUAUGCAAUCCAUAUUUUACUAUGGAGUCACAUGUACCACAUUAGAAAGUGCAUUUGAUUGCAUAGUUAACAUCUUUGAUAUGAUGAAUGACAAUUCAGUGCUAAUCAAAAUCAAAAAAUUUACCCAUAUCUACCAACUUAUCCUCAUGGUUCUUCUGAAUAUUCUACUUCUGCAAAAAAGAUAGUGAUUAAUUGACACUUACUAACUUAAUUUUACUAUGGAGCAUGAAAAAAUUUUUCUUCCUAAGUUCAUCAUUGCUAUCAUGAUGAAAACUCUCAGCCUUUUACACACUCACAACUUGUUUUAUAAGUUACUAUUUCCUUGAUCUACAUAGAAAAUCAAAAAUCUGGUCACAAAUACUGACUUUAGAUUGAAACUUGAUUGAUCACGUUGCCCAAUUUAUCUCACAAAGAUAUUCCUUCUGCUAGUCUACUUAAGCACUUUGUCAUUGAGCAUCUAUCAUUUUACCUAACCUAUGUCCAAUGCUGGCUUCACAAAGCUCUUAAAUGUUAAUGAUUAAAUCAAAGAUUAGGCAAAAGCUUUUGCCAAUAAUGUGAUGGACAUUAAGCAGUGAUUAAUUCUAGAAUUUUCUUUUUUUUUAAUAAAAAAUGAUGGAGAGGUUAUGCAUCUUGAGGGGAUCAAGCAUGUAUCAAGAAACUUUGUUUCUUUAUGACUGUUUGAUGUUUUCAUGUAUGGACCAAUUGUCUAAACUUCUGAAUUGUUGAUGUAAAAUUGUAUUCCCCUUUUCUUAAUUUAUCUUCUUUUGUUGUGAUUCCUAUGGUGUGUACUAAUUGUUGUACCUAGGAGUAGCAAUCCAAUCAUUGUGAGAAAAUUGGUGUGGUUGCUGAGAAUUCAUAAUAUUCAAAAAUCAUUGACAACCCAAAAGGAUGAAAUAUGACUAAUGGACUAAGUGAGAAAAAAAAUUAUACAGGGGAAAAUGGACUGAAAAUAUUAGUUGAAUUGUUUUUUGAUGUGCCAACAAGGGGACAUAAUGAACUAAAUAGUGAAAUGAAAAUACUGUUCUCAUUCAAUAAAAUUAGAAUAAAGAACUGAAAUGUGGAAUGAAACUUAUUUUCGUGCUUGAUGUGAGAAGCGAGAAUCAAGGUGAGUGGAUGAAAAUUAUCAUUGAGACAAGUGUUGAGAUUAUUCAGGUUUCAUUUCUUCCACUUGUUUGAACAUUUCCCCCAUAAAAUGGUGGAGAUUAUUCAUGUGAAUGAUAAUUUUAGGAUGUGAAAUCUGCGAAUUGCCUUAGUUUAACUAUCAAAAGGGCAAGGGUGGAAUCAGACAAAUGAUUUUUACAUUGGACCAUUGAGCCUCACAUAUGCUAGGAACUCAUGAAAAUUGUAAUUAAAAGUACUCAACGCAAUAAACAGUAAAUCAAGAAUUCAAAGAGUUCAAAUUGUCCUGAUUUUAUUUCCACUAAAGUGAAAAGUUAUUUCUAAAUUGUAUAAUUUAAUGUGAAAAAUAAUCUAUAUUUUAACUUGUGUUAAAGAAAGCAGGUCAAAUAAGGAAUCCAACAUAGCAGAUCUGAUGGUUUCGAAUUUUUAUGUAUUUUACAAGGUUUACCAACAUUUUCUUGCAUUAUCCGUCACAUGUGCAGUCCAAUACAGACCACUCAACUAAUUGUUGAGAUGCCUGUUCGGCCCAUUAAGCCCAGCAUAGAAAUAGGGCUUUCACCCAAAAAUGGGGCAUCAGGAAAGAUCAAAAGAUAGAGCACAGGAGUCUAUCUCUCUGCCCUCUUUCUGCUUACAGAAAUCUUCUAGAACCCAAGCUGCAAAUUCAAUGUCUCCAAGUUUCUGCAACUCCUGAUAGUUAUUUGCGGCUAAAUAUCUUUGAAAAGCUUCCUUACAAUCUUCUUCCUCAACAGCAAGAUUCAGCAUCCUAUUUGAAGGCAUGGGUAUGCCUCCGUAUUUCUUGAACUGCUAAUAAUUAUUUACCGCUAAAUAUCUUUGAAAAGCUUCCUCGCAUACUUCUUGCUCGACAGCAAGAUUCAACAUCCUAUUUAGAAAUAGGCGGUAGAAACAGCCUACUUCUGUUGGGUUUGAAUUUCUAAAGGCUCUCUAGGAUCACUUGUCUCAAGAUUUGGAGGCUAGAUAGAGCUUGAACAUCCAGAAAGGGGAGAAAACCCACAUGAAGAUAUAUCGUGCAAGGAAGAGAGUAUGAUCCCACAAAGCCGCCCCCACUUGAUCUGCUUAUUGGGCGAUAAAAAUAGAAUUUUCAUUCUCUUUGGGGGGCUCAUAUUUUAUUCUGGAUUCAAGCAACCAUUAUCAGUUCAAAGGACAACAUUUUGGAUCAUUGUGGAUUCAAGGAUCAUCAAAAUUAUUUAUUGUGGAUACAAGCCAAUGGGAUUUCGCAGUGAUUUACUUAUGUUGGUCCGUUGAACUUCAUCCCCCAAUUGACAGUUUUGUAUCCACUAAAUCAUGGUUGGUUUUUGAGGCAAGAGAUUUGUGUUUGGAGGUCAACAUCAAUCAGAAAGAAACGGUCGAGUGACGUGUCCUUGGCGAUUUCAUUAAAUGGACGAUAGAAAACACAGCUUUUGUUUGAGAUCUUCGUGAGAUUAUUCAUUCUGAUGUUCUUCAAAAUGUUUGGUUAGUGGGCUUUUUGGUAGCUACACAUGCAUCACUAUUGCCCACGUUCCUAAGAUUCCUGAGAGAUUCAGGCUCUUCUUCUUCAUGCGCCAUAAAUGGGAGGUUAACGAAUGCUGCAGCCUGGGCCCAGACUAGCCAGGGGAGUGCCAAUAGUGAUCACCGGCAGGAGGAAGAACAUUAACAGUUGAACAUCAAAGACGGGGGCGUAAAUGGGCAGGGAACAGUGGGGUGGAUAAAUGCGCUGCCACCUGUGGUCCAUGUGGACUACCACGUGGGUUUCCGAGCCGUUGUGAUGCUAUUUCCUUCAUUUAUUUCUUUAAGGGUCGUUAUUUCUCUAGGAGCUCAAGGCGACUCCCCGUGAGAAGAUGAUUUCUGUUCCAAUGGCUCUGCGAUGCGGGAACAGAUGACGAGGGGCGUCCUUCGAUUCAUUCGGCGAGAGAUCUCGACCGAUCACACUCGAACAGAAGUAAAAUGCCAUCCUUUUCAGGUACUAGAUACAAAAAAGAAGCUAAUUUUGCUCUUCUUCUGGGAAGAAAACAGAGACUCAGCUGUCUCCCCUCGUUGGUUUUCCCCAGGACAAGGGGGAAGUGAGCUGAAAACGCGCCUCCAGGACGAACACCAUGUACACGAUGAAGGAAUUGGGCAGGAGAACCCGCAGCCGGAGAGGGGAGAGGGAGAGAGGAGAGAGGAGAGAUUUCUGACCUUUCUCGUAUCCCUCGUCCUGUUCGUCGUGGUUGCUGGUUCUCGUCGUCGAGGGGGGUUUGCUUCGGACAACCCACCCUGGCUGAUCUUGUGUUGUGGUUUUCGAAGAAUUUGAAGAAAUGGAAGAGCAGGGAUCUGUCCACGGAAUGAAAAAACGGGACAUGUUCAGGGCUCCACGUCGUCCCAGCUGAGGUCCCCGCCGCCUCCGGUGACGACGAUGGCUGUGCCGUUGUUGAAGGCGGGGCACUGGUAGGACGGCCGAGAUCCGUCGCCGCCGGCGCUGGCGGGGCAUCCGGAGGGCCCCACGGGCAGCGGUGCCAUGCAGUUGUAGGAUAGGCAGACCGUCACCCCGUCCGGAAGGGGCGGCGAGACGGCGGCGCCGGCCACACCGCCGCCGGGAAUCGGAAGUGGAGAGUCGAGUCCGGAGAGGUAGUUGUGCUGAGCAUAGAGCGUCGUCAUGGUGCCCGCGUAGAGGCUGCGAACGAACUCCGACGGCAGGGUCCCCGUCAGACGGUUGUAGUUCACGAAGAGGCUGCCGGCCGCCGCCAGACCCCCCGGAAGGGGACCCGUCAGCUGAUUGUGGCUCAGGUCCACCGUCCACUUCGCGAUGGCUCCCGGCUCGACGGGCUCCGGUAUAGGGCCCGACAAGCUGUUCCGCUGCAGCAAGAGCACCGCCAAUGGCGGUGGCACCUCCUCCUCCGGGGGGCGCCGUGGAUUGAAGAGGGCACUGGGUACGGGACCGGAGAAGCCGUUCAUGGAAAGGUCGAGAAAAGCGAGGUCGGGAAAUGAGGCGUCGAGGGCUUCGAGGGGACCCGACAUUGCGUUGUUGGAGACGGAGAUGUAGUGGAGAGUGGCCGGGAGAGGGCGAGGAAGAGGUCCGGUGAGGUUGUUCUCGCGGAGGUCGAGAUGGAGGAGCGGGACGGCGACAGGGGGGAUUUCCCCGGAGAGACCGCCGUUGGCGGCGAGGAUUACGACCCGGAGGCUGGGUAGAGCGAGGAGGGCCGGGGGAAUGGCACCGGAGAGGCGAUUGUGGCUGAGAUCGAGCGUGUGGAGGCUGGGGAGAACCCCUAAGGAGGCCGGGAUGGGGCCGGAUAGAAGGUUUCCGCUCAAGGAAAGGAGGCGGAGCGAGGGCAGGCGGGCUCCGCCGAGCGCCUCGGGGAUGGGCCCGGAGACGCGGCCGGGGGAGAGGACGAGCUGGGUGAGAAGCGUGAGGUUGGCAAGGGAGGGUGGAAGCGUCCCGGCGAGGCCCGGAGAUCCUGCAGAACCGGCAGAUCCGAGGGUGAGAGACGUCACCCGGAGGGUCGCAUCGUCGUCGGCAGGGGAGCAGACGACGCCGGCGAAGGAGGAGCAGGCGUCGGAGGCGGCAGACGGUGAAUCCAAGCGCCACGAGGAGAAGAAGCCCGAGCCGGGGAGGUCGCGGAGGCUCUGUCUGAGGUCUAUGAGCACAUCAAGGUCCCCGCUGGUCAGACGAGCACCAAGAGCCAGCGUCUCCUGCGGCCGCUGCUGCGCGGUGGCCAACCAGGCCCCUCGCGAGACCAAGAUCACGGAGAGUAAGAGCGAGAGAAGGCUCGCCAUGGCAGCGUGAAGUCGCCCGCAGCGCGAUGGGGUCCGCGAGAGGAUUCUCUCUCCCACAGGAAGCCGGCGGAGAUGGGCGCGCGCGAGAAAUGUCGGCCAAAACAAAGGGCAGCCGCGCUCAGUCACAGGCUUUGUAAAGGCGCGUUCUUGCCAGCAGGUGUGGGGGCGGGUUGGCUCCCGUUGCCUAAUCCUCCUCUGCGUCACUAGCGUAGCAGCGCGGCCGCAAUGAUGGCUCUCACAGGGGGGAGGGGGGGUUUACGGUCGUCGUACAGCGGGACGAGGGGGCACGUGGUGGAAGUUGGACGGACGCCGAAUGGUCCUGCGCCGUUGCAUGUUUCCAUGUCCCUUCUGUUGCGUGACGACACGGCCAACUGGCCGAGAAAAGACAAGGCAUGCUUGCUUGCUUGCCUCGCCUCGAUUCCUUUGCCCGGGCCGACUCCCCGGCGGCUUGCACACGCGGCACGGGGGUUUCUGCUGCCCAGGUUAGGUUCCGCGCUUGGAGAAGAGGUGGGUGAACAGCGACACACAGAGGGGUGGAGGGGCCGGCCUUCCGGCCAGGGAAUGGAUGUCCCGGCAAGAACAGGGAGAAUCUGUGGAGCCGACGCCCGCCCGACGCGGGCUCGCCCGGCGCGCAAUGCUAGCAACUGCAGCAGGAAUUGGGGAACUAAGCCAGAACGGAGCUCGAGCUCCCUCCCGAGGGAGGUCUCGCCGGAAUUUCCAAGAGGGGAUCUUGGAAAGAACUCAAAUAUUGGAAGUCCCUUGGAGGCGGGGGGCCGGUCGCCGACAGGCCUUUUCGAACUCGCGCUUCAAAAUAUAUCAAAGUUGGAUUUGUUGGAACCGACUUGACGGUCUCAAGCUCUUUUCACUCCCUCGUCACUGCUACUGCAUAGAUUAUGCCGUGCUCCGUCCUUCCUUGACGGGGCCUCCCCUGCCCUCUUCCCUCCCCUCGACUGGCGAUGCACGGCUGCGCGCCGCCGGCCAUGGCAUCCUCCGAGCCCUUCCCUACCCGGCCAGCUCGGUGGAGAAGCGCCAUUUGCGGCGGCGUGUCUGGGCUUCUCCAGUAGUCAAGCCUGUUGGGGUUCAGCUUUGUUGGCUCUCGCUCGGACCAGGGUCAAACUGGGUCCGACUCCACCUAAUAUUUCACUCAAUAUUCUACUUCUAUGCAGAUGGGUUGGUGCGACCCAUCAUAAAUAAUUAACCCGCUUGCUCAAAUCUGCUCCUUGCGGAAGUCGAACCAGCCCGACCUUAAUAAAAUACGGCCGACCGAUCUGGUGAUAAAAUACGGCCGACCGAUCUUUACUAUUCUUAGGUGCAUAGUAGCAUGUGCUAACGGCCAUAUUCCACGGCUGCCUAGGCUGCUAACAUAUUGCUUUGUUCUUAGGCACAAAUCCUAACCCAGGUUUGAAGUAACGGAGACUGAUUUUAUUGUUUUACAUGCUCUGAGGGCAUUGGUCCAACGGUGGCUGGUAAUGACGCUCUAACAUACGCGAAGACAGAGAAACUUAGCAAGCUCUGUCUGGGAGGGGAAUCACUCCUGGAUGAUGAUUUGAGUGGGUUAAACUGUUCUUAAAAAAAAAAAUGGUAGAACGCAAUGAGAAAAUAUCGGCAGCAUCAAAUAAGUUUAAGGAAAAAUCGGAAAAGUUUUGCUAUAAUGGGUCCCAGAUAAGUGUAAACGUCAGAAAAGCUUUGGUAGUUUUGCCGACAGUCACCGCUGUUCAUCGAUUUGUACUCCAUUCAAGGUAAAACCGGAAAUGAAGAACAACGAUGCGAGCUGGUGAAUAAACUCUGUUAUGGUAUGAACCCCAACAUGGCUAUUAAAUGAGCAUUCUUAUUGAGGAUAAGAUAUCCUAUUAUUGAGGGCAGCCCCAACAUGGCUGUUAGCUCGAAUCAUUAACAAAAAUGUCGUGGAUGUCACUCCCCUGGUCCCGGUGAUAUUUAUGCCUGUCUCUCUCCCCACCAAAGUGUCUGGAACUUUUGGCAUAUGACAAUAGCUCGUGGGCCUGCCUAUCUCAUCUUUGGUUGGAUCACUCUCCGCAAUUCUCGCGGAAGGCUCUUCUUCUUCCUCGACGUCAGUAUACUCUCAUCUCUGCCAGACGGCUCUCCGAACACCGACAGCGGCGAUAAAUGCGAAUAGGGAGUUCUCAGCGCAUUGCUUGUUAAUACCCCAUGUGGGGUUAAAACGUUUGGAAGAACGCGGUUGUGUGAGUAACUCACAGUAGUGGUGCACUGACGAGAGGAGUUACUCGCCUGCAUGGAUCCUCAUCAUGUGGGCAUUUAAGCGCUGCCGCUGCUACUGCCAUCGUAAAGGACCUGACGGCAGGCCGCCGUUCAAGGGCUCCGACCAGUCGGUCGCCGAGCAUAGAUGCUGAGACGCGUAUUGUUUUCUGUACUUUGCCUGGAUGUGAAUUGUGGCCGUCACCGCAGAAGAAAAUUCGCCGUUUCAGCCUCCCAAGCCUGAAAACUUGACGGCGUACGUAAAGCGCCGCCGGUGGAUCAAGAAUGGAGCAAGUCUUAAAGGUCAACUGAGGAGUCAGCGUGGCUGUCAACGACAACGAGGCGAACGUUUGAAGGGGGUGAAGGGGGAGAAGGGGGGGACCUUGUUGAGUGAGCAGACAACCACAACGGUCUUCAUAUUAAAUGCCAUCACAUGAUCCGCUCUUGGCGCGAUGUAUGAACUUAUAGCCAUCAUUGCUUGCCGGUCACUCUCGCAAGUACCCCCCGGCACAAGAUCAGUCAGUCUUUCGGCUCUUCCCUUUCCCACCCUGCCGACAAGGGAGAUAAGGCCACGAACAUGCAUCAUGAAACUCUCUCUCUCUCUCUCUCUCUCUCUCUCUCUCUCUCUAUCGCUGGUAUCUAUUCAUCUUUAUCCCUGCAUCUCAUCUCAGUCCGAGUCUCCUCAAGGAAGGCCACACACAUCUCUCUCUUUCUCCCUUCAAAUCCCUCUCUCUCUAUCUAUACAGGUCAACGUGCCGACGCCGGCUUGUCUUCUACUCGUCAAGUGCGAGUUCAGAUGGGGAGGGGAUCUUAAUGAAACCUACAGAGUUCAGAACGCUUCGUGCUUCUUCGGGUUGCCUCUAAAUACUGGAGACAGCGACCUCAGUAAAUGCCAAAACGGUGUAGUAAUUGCACAAUGGAAGAGCCGAGCAGGGUCACUGCUCUUCUUCAUGUUGCUGACAACUGACGCGGGGUUCUCUUCGAUUUUUCUUCGUCUUCUUUCUUCGUAGCAUGACAUCACUCAUAAUGGUCGUCACCUCUCUCUCUCUCUCUCUCUGCCGUUUUUUCGUAGGCGGUGGUAUAAACCGUCAGUUGCUGAAGAGUUCCCUAAAAUAGGAUCAGAGUUGACUCGCACCGAAGUGUCUACGCCCACCUCAAAGCCUGAUAUCGUUGACUACAGAGAGUUUAACCAAGUAUAAGCCUGAAACUUCAGAAUUUUAGGUACGAUACCAACUGUCUCCCUACUGCUGCACUGCAGGCUUCCUGUUCGUCGACCCUACUCCAAAUUCGCAGCUGACAUGGCCCAGCUAAGACGCCUCGAAUACGGCAGGUAGUUUCGUACGGAGAGAGUACCUCUUACCAUUGCCAAUGGACUGAGUAGGCUCAUAGCUCAGCUUCGGACCGGACUUGGGUUUCUUCGUGCGCCAGGGUCUAGAAAAAUCAGGUCCUAGAAUAAGAGUAGGCUCUCCAAGGAACUGUAGGGGAGCCAUCAGCCUGCCUCCGCUUGCCCGACUCUAGAACGUGCUCUGUUGCCUAAGUGGAGACCCCCCCCGCCUCCUGCCGCGUAACCCGCGUUGUCUCCAACAUCGGCGGCUGAUAAUCCGCCUGCAUGGUGGGCUCUCCCAGGGAGGAGGAGGAGGGAAGGGGGGGAGACGCGUCGCGCAGAGUUUCACUUCAAUUCAAAAAAAUAAAUUUCAAGACUUGUGAAGAAAUUAAGGGGGGGUAGACUCGGAACGGUAAUGGUUUUGAACGGCUAAAUUGUAUUUAAUGUUCGCUAAUAAUCGAUUUCAUUCGUUCGCUGCGGCACAAGGCGAAAGAAGGGCUGGAAGCGUGAUGGACGCACGUAUCCGGGCCAUCGUCGACGCCAUCCACGCCAGCCCCUCCCAGGCUGUCAUCUACCUCGCCGGAGGUGCCUCUCAGGUGUGUCGGUCUCUCGUUCUCUGCUUCUUAGUUCCCCUCCCUGCCGCCGAUUCCCGACAACUGCAGAAUUCUGAAAAUGGCUGUUUUUUCGAUUGCUGCCUCCAGGCGCUCGGGUGGCUGCUGUCUGUUCCAGGAGCUUCUAACACCGUUCUCGAGGCUUUGGUUCCCUACUCCAAGACCUCCAUGUCCCAACUCCUCGGGAAGGUAACUCGUCGUCUCCUUCCCUAUGAAUAAUUUUCCCUAUUCGGCAUCUUCUUUCAUCUCGAACCCCGACAGCUUGUUUGCGUAUCCGUUUUAGUUUUCUCCUUUCGAUAUGUUCGGCCUGUUGUUCCAUAUUUAUCUGCCUCUUACCCGAGGAACAUUCAAACUCUGGAAUGUGGUGCGUCUGAUGGAAAGAUAAAAAGAAUCGUUUGUCCGACUACGUUUUGAUGGGGGAAAGUUUGUGAAUUAUUUAUUGAUUGAAUGUCUUGGGAUCGAACUCAACUAUAGCCUGAUAUGGCGAGAAUGUUUAUGCAACCCUGCCAAGUUUGAAUACACCUGAACCAUGUUUGGUUCCUUCGGAGUCAUUAGAUGCAACCUCUCGUUUGCAGGAGGAUGCUUUUUCCUUGAUCUUCUCAGUCUUAUUUUCUAUUAGUGGCUUCGAUCCAUUUCAAAGAGGUGGUCAUCUCAUGCAUCACAAACUUUAAGGUAUUUUGGUUAGGCAUCAGGCCUAGCUUUUCUCCCUAAACCGCCAUUGAUAGUCCACUCCAUUAGGAAAUGCAAAUCAGGCUGUGUCUUAUUGAUAUGGUGCAUCACUGGUUCCCUGGCCCAUUUUGUCUCACAAACAGCAUACAGUAAGUUUUAAACUAAAAUAGCAAAAAUAACGGACGAAUAUCUGAACAAGAAUAAAUUUCAAAGAGUGAAAACCUUACCAUAACCCGCAAUACAAACAGGGAGGAUGAAGAAAACAAAUGCUAUGGAAAACCUUACUACAUCAUCUUCUAAUUCUUUUUUAAACCAAGAAUAUUAAAAAAUUGCUUCUUUACUUGUUCUAUACUUUUAAUGUAUUAUUGAGUACCUCAGGUGGAUCCUAUCUCUGAAAACUGCAUUUAAGGUUUACAGUCUAGUCGUGUGCUACCUUAUAAUACUUGCUGGUUCACUUUAUUCAUAUGGGUUGGAUUUACAUCACUGAGGCACUCUUUGACUUAUGGAAGUUGUCCCUAGUAAAGCCCUAAACAUAGGUUCUUCUGAUCCAUAUCUCCUUCUUCACAAGUUUUGAUGUCUUAGCAAGGCCUGUGCAUAUAGUUUAAAAAUAUGUAUACUGAUAACUGGGUUAUGUUAUCACCAAACCAAUUUUAGAGCUCAGAAAAAGAGUUAUCUAAAAGUAAUAUGAAAGAUAUCUACCACUUUUGAGUUUAGAAUUCCUCUUUGUCACAUGACUGCAACAUUUUUUAUUAAAGAGGAUUGUUUUCUUCUAUCAAACCCAAGAAACGACAGAGAGCAUAAAAAAAAUGAAAGAGUAAAUAUGAAGAUUUCAUGUUAUUGCAUAUUUGAAAUCACACUUCUCUGUGUGGCUUAUAUCUUGAACUAAGCACAGAUUUCUGAUGUUAAAAGGAACUGCAUUAUUGUCUUGUUUUAGCAUAAGCCUUAAAAAUUCUCACAUUAUUGCGACCAUUUUGGUAUCUUAGCUCAGCUUAAUCACCUUUGUAGGAAGUACCCAGUUUCUUUAGGACAUGAUGAUUUGAUGCUAAACUAGGUCUAGUUUCUGUUCUUCUAAGAGGCUGGAAACAUAUAUAUUCUUGUACAAGGUGUUUCUAUUCCCGUGUGUUACUGCUGAGAAAUGAAGGCUAUCAAAUCCUGAGAGGACUGCUACAGAGAUCAACUAUGAAAAAUGUAUGAUCUAUUCAUGUACAAAGGCAGGUGUAUCUUCUUGGUUAAGAGUUCAGACAACAGUAUCUCCUAGGAUUAGGGUCAAUUAGGGGUAAUGAAAGGAUCUUAGAUUUAUGAAGAAACGACAACAAGAAAGAUCUGAUAUCUUUGCAUAAUCUUCUCAGUUAAUAUAAUAUAGCAGAGGUAAGGGAUGGUACUAAUGCUUUCCAAUCGACAGAUACUGUGUUUUCCUCAUUCAAUUUUAUUUGACGUCAGUACUUUUUGUCUUGUGGGAAUAUAUAGUUUAGCUAAUUGUAACCUGAAAUGAAUUUUCUUCUGUUGGGAGCUCACUGUUACAGAACUUCAUAGAAGUGACUAUCAGCUCAUGUACUGGAGCACUCCAUAGAACUGCUAGAUUUUAGACAAUAGGCAACAUGUUAUAAUGAUUGGAUCCCGCCUCAUCUCUUCACGAGGUUAAAUUGCACAACCAUGCUACCAGCAAGGUAGUCUACUCAACAUGUGAAUAGUGCAUAUUUUUAAAAAGGCUAUUUCUGGUCCAAAACUAUGUUGACUGAAAUUUUGGAACACUUUCUAUGGGGGCUCAUGUCAAACACCACGACAAAAGGAAAGCUUAUCCAUAGUCAUGGGACCAUCUAUUUUAUACAGGAAAACACAAGAUUCUGGGGGAAGACUCAAUAUGGUCAUGACAAUAGAUGAAAUAGUAUCAUUGCACUGGGGCGAUCUAUUUCAGUAUCUUUUCUGUAGUGUAUGUCAUAUAGUUUCAUUUUAGAUUAUUACUAAGUUACAUUACAAUGUGACCAUACUUUAGUUCACUUGCUGUUCAAGUUCUUGGUCAAGUAUUGUAACCUGCCAAUAGAAUUUACCCAUUCAAUUCAGUGGUCUGGGUCAGGUGAAGAUUGACUGUCUUGAUUGGACCAUAUGUUGUGGUGUAAUGUUUUCAUGUGAACUAUCAAAUAAUCCCCCUCUACAAUGGUCUUGGGUUUUUCUUCAUAUUGAAUCCCUCUGUAACCUCCCAUGUCCUCUAUAUGUUACAGGCCCGUUGGCAAAGCUUAUUGUACAAAUUAUCAUAUUAUUUCACCAGAAAAACACUGUUAAAAUGGCUGAAAUUGCAAUAUAUCAUAAAAAUUAAGCUUAAUGACUAGGGUCGUUAGCUCACUGCCAAAUCUCUAACUCUGCAUACAGAUGGUAAGAAAUACGGAGUUCUGCAAUUAACCCUUAUACCUUUCACCAAUUCUUCAGUUUGUAUGUUGCUUGUAUGUAUUUACCAUCAGUUGUCAAUCUUUCAGCAGAAGCAAGGAGCUCAUUCUACAGUACUCAGAGAAAUAACCCUAAGAAGAUAAUAUUAUAAGCUGAUUGCUGUGUUAAUCAUUCUAUGAGUAUGGUGUUCUGAAAAACAGUCAGUCUCUUUUGGUAUCAUCAUAAGGCAUGCAAGUAAAAUAUCUUGCAAUUUAUUUCUCUCUUUCGUCAAUGAUCAUCCAAGAGGAGAGAACAGAGGUGGCAUUUUCUAGCCAUAGUAUUUUCUGUUGUUUUUUUCUUCUGCACUUUGUUUCUGGACGGCAACAUUGGCCUUUGUCGCCACUUUCAACAUAAUUCUGUCAUAGACUGCUUUGAAAUAAGAAGUCACAAAAAGAGCAAGCCGUUAGAUUAUUGCCUAUCGAAGUUUGUUCGCAAUAUCAUUAACACUUGCAUAGCAUUAGUUAAGAUGAUCUUCAGCAUAACUUUUUUGAUUUAUCAUCUAUUUCCAUCAUGUCUUUCUUUUUACCUUCACUUCCUUGGAUUAUCCCAUGAUUUUUUUCCUUUAUUAUUCUAAUAUUGCAUCUCUUUUUGUUGAUGUAUGCCCUUUUCUUUAAGCUUGCAUUCCUUCAAAAUGACUGCCCAAUGGUUCUUUAAAUAUUUUUUUAUUUUUCUCCCUCGUCAGUUUGAUUCUGCCAGUCUGCUCCUAAUUUUAUCUCUUCAGGCCAGUCUAAUUUGCAAAUUUAUAGCAAAACAGUAUGUGGGUGAAGGUUAUGUCUUUCUGUGGGCAUUUUAUUCGUUCUUAUUCACAGACAAGUACAGACAUACUGGACAACAUAGAAAGUAGAAGAAAUCUAAGGUCUCAUGCCAUUAAAAUCAUGCAUCAUUAAUAAAGUUUACUUUAUUCAGUUGGCUGAAAAAUAUGAUAGACGUUGACUUGGGUAUGUGUAAAUUGCCAAAGAAAAUGAUGAUGUUAAUCAGUAACUUUGAAUGAUAAAUUCUGAUAAUAGAAAGUGGUUGGUCGUGGUAACUUAAAUGAAAGGAUUUCAAUGUUACAUAUUGUAUGUGGGAUUUGUUACUCUGUUUCCUACGUAAUGAAUUUUAGGUUCCUGCGCAUUUCACUAGCCAAGAAGUUGUAGAAGAAAUGGCAAUGUUGGCCUACAAUCGUGCAUUGAAGCUGUCUAGACCAGGUUCUUGUUCUUCAAUGGUUUUCUAUAACACUAAAUCAUAACAGUGUUUUUCUACUUCAGUUAUCUGCUUCAUUCAUCCUUUCAUACCUUUCGUUUAUCUGAUAUCAAACGGAGUUGGCUAAAGUUUCAUUCUUUUGGCUUCAAAUGAAUUUCUCCUUGAAGGCAUUGUUGUUUAGAUUUUUUUGAAGUGAUGUUACAAUAUUGAAUAAGUUCUUAAUUCAUUAGUUUCAAUUUCAUCAUGUUGAUAGAAAAAGGGGAUGAGAAGACACCAUAGAUGUGGAGAUGGCCAGUUUUUCGAUGAGAAGACACUUGUACACCUGGUACAAGUGUGCUUAGGAUACAAAAUUAAAGAUAAAAUAGAAAGACAGAAACACCCUCAUGUUCUUGGCAUUUUCUCUCGAUAAAAUUAUGGAUACUUAUCAUGUUGACCUUGCACAAUGUGUGUUGAAGUCACCUUGUGUAAAUCUGUCAAUCUAAAUAACUAAACAUUGGCCAUUUUGUUGAGGCAGAGAUAGGCAGUGGAAGACUAGCACCAAAAAAGGGAGAGUACAGGAGGAGGAAGAGAUAAAAUGAGAGAAUAUAAAUAGUCUUACCAUGGGCUGUAAGGCCCUUGGUACUUAUACAUAAACCCUUAGAGGUAAAAUCAUAAAUGAUAGAAAAUAAAUAGAGAAACAGAAGGGGGAAUAUAUCUGACAACACUCCCCCUCAAGUUGGUGAAUGGAUGUCAUCCAUGCCCAGCUUGCCACAUAGUUCGUAGAAGCAUAAUGAGGAGAGGUCCUUCAUGAAGAUGUAUGCCUGCUGUUGAGUAGAUGGGAUAUAUGGAGUAAAGAAAUCUCCUGUCUUGAGUUUUUCCUUAAUAAAGUGGUGAUCCACUUCGACGUGCUUCAUGUGGUCAUGCUAAACUAGAUCAUGGGUGAUGUUGAUGACUAAUUUUUUGUCUCAUAAUAGUUGAACUAGAUGAAUGUAUGGAAGUCCAAUUUCAGUCAAUAGUUACUUGAUCUAAAUAGCUUCACACAGACCUUGAACCAUUGCUUGGAACUUAGCCUUUGCACUUGACCAAGCAAGAAUUAGUGAGCUUUACUGACUCUACUUUUAUUUUUUUUCACCCUAAAGGAAUGAUUUAUUUGGGUUCAAUGGCUUUGAUAUUCUACUUUAUGGGUAGAAAAGAUACCCGAACAUUUUUUUUCUUUAUCUACAGGAAAUAGUGAUGUAGUUUCCAUUUGCCAUCAUGAGAUCAACCUCAAUAAGGAUCAUCUUUCUGCCAGAAUAUCUAUUUAAGAACUAUUUAAAUAUUUUUUGGCUGUCAUUAUAUUCAUUCUCUUUCAUAAUCUAUGGAAGGUGCAUUAGCUGGUGGUGGAACAACGAUCAAUUUAUGAGCCAGCAUAAUCUGUGUCCGUGUUGACCUCCAGGCAGAGUUGAGCAUCCUGCCAGAAGAGUAUCUUGUGGCCCACCGUACCUUUGAGGUAACAAUGUGUACGAGUGGCAGCAUGGAGGUGAGGUGCUUGAGGAGCAUGCAUGAAUUGACUCAAAAUGUUGAUCGUGUAGGCAAUGUUGGGUCGAGGGUAGGUGAGAUAGAUGAGCUUGCCGACCAACUUCUGAUAAGACCCUUGAUCAAUAGGUUCCGUAUUUGCAACAUCUACCAAGCGAUGAUUAGUUUUGAAUGAAAGUAUCCAGUGGUUGCGAAGCUGAUUUGUCAAGUUCUUGAAGAAGGUCUAGUGUACUUAUACUAGCAGAUAAAGAUACCCACAACACUAUAAGCCACUUCUAGUCCCAAAAAAUACUACAGUAAGCCCAGAUGUUAGAUCUCAAAUACCAAGGCCAAUCAGUGAGCAAGAGAUUGAGCCUCAAUAGUGUCGCUCUUGGUGAUGAUGAUAUUGUCAACAUAUAUUAAGAGGAGAGUGACUCCCCCUAACAAGGAAUGGUGAUAGAACAUAGUAUGAUCAUCAUUACUUCGUUGAUAACCAAAAGACAUUAUCAAGAUGGUGAAGUGACCAAACUAGGAGGGAGGUGACUAUUGAGGCAGUAGAGCACCUUGUUGAGCUGACAAACAACUAGAGUUGACAAGGAGAUCCAGUAUCCAGGAGGAAGUGUCAUAUAUAUAUCCUCUUGAAGGUCCCCUUACAAGAAGACAUUCUUGAUGUCGAAUUGCUGCAGGGCCCAGUCAAAGUGAUGAGCCAAAGUAAGGAAAAUACAGAUUGUGUUCAUCUUGGCUACUAGGGCAGAUGUCUCCUGAUAAUCAAUACCAUAUUAUUGAGUAUAACUAUUGGCAACCAAAUGAGCUUUGUAAUACUCCACGAAGCCAUCAGAUUGAUACUUCAUGGUAUACACUCAUUUGUAGCCAACAACAUGUUGUCUCAUAGGAAGAACAUGUUAGCAUCAGGUUUAAUUUUUCUCCAAAGCCAGGAGCUCCUUCGCCAUAGCUUGAUGCCACUCAAGAGUGUUUGGAGCUUCAUUCAUGGUGCGAGAGAUAGAAACAGUGUCAAGGGGCAUGAGGAAGGCAUGAUAGGAGGGAGAAAGGCGAUGGUAGGAGAGGUAAUGUGCCAAGGGUUCAAGAAUUUGAGGAGGCUGGGGGGGAGUAGGGUGAGAAAUUGGGACAGAAGAGAUGGGUGGACUCAAGUCAGAAGUGGUGGUGGACUCAGGCCAAAGACUGUAGGUAGAUGAGGGGCACAUUGGAUGUAGACUUGGCGACCAAAUUGAUGCAGUGGUUAGGGGUGGACAGAAGGUUCAGAGGCUGGGAGGGUUUCAGAGGGAGCAGAAGGUUUAGAUGUUUUGUUGUAUCAUGUUUUUCUGUAUUUUUUGAUAUUUUUGCGUACCUUGAAAUUGCAAUAUAACUUCAUGUACAACUUCAUUCAGACAUCUUGGAUAAAAUCUUAACCCAUAGGUACCUAUCAAUUUUAUGAGCUAUUGCAUAAUAUUUUGUUUUUGCACUUGAUGAGACUCACAAAAUUUGCAUCCCUUCUCAAAGAGUAUAUCUCCUAUGAUCUUGAGUACCACAAUCCAUUACUUAGAACUAACUGAUUUAGUAUAUCCUAACAUUCUUCCUAUACCUUACCCAACAAGACCUUUUAUACGAUUUAGAAGUAGUCAAUCCCUUUUCUUUGCAAGAAUAUGAAUGAAGUUUAUUUUGUGACCCCAGUGUAGAAUCCUAAUUCACCCUCCUUUUGAUUCCUAUAAUGACUUGGGACCAACAUUAGGUAGAUGAUCAUCAAGCUGAAUGGCUCCUUUCUCAGUGAUAAUAUCUUUUUUUCUUUUCAUAGUAAUCGCCUUUUUGAACUUCAGUUGAAGGAAUAUGUAGAAAACAACGCAGAGGUACUUAUCAUAUGGUUUGCAGCUUUAAAGUUGAUAACCAAAAGUAAUGAUAAGAUGCAUAGUAGCAUUGAGGGCAGAUUUGUUUAAGAGUAGUUUGAAGUAAAGGUUUGGUGGCGCCCUUAUAAAAUUUUAUUCAAGUUUGAGUCAAUCUUCUGUUUGAAGCUUGGUCAGGAUGUUAAUGAAUGAAAUAAGUUAAGUAUUCAUUGGCCGAUGCAUACAGAAAAUAACUUAUGGUGUAUGCAAAAUUUGAGGUAGAACUUGAUUUUUGAUCCCUGACAUUAAAGUAUCAGCACUUGUGUAAAGUGUCAACUGAUGAAAACUAAGUGUGAACAUUUGAGGCAAAAUAGAAACUGGAAAAAAGCAGGGAGAAGCGACCCCUAUACCUUAGGUGUUGACACUUGGAUAUGUGUAUGAUAUAAAGCUCAAAAUUGUCAGCAUGUAUAUAAAGAAGAAAAAUAAGUUUCGAAGGUGAACCCAUCAUGAGGGGGGAUCGUCACACAAUUAUAGCUUGUUGACUAACAGAUUGACUGCUAGCUUUUCCGAGUUGAAUUUCCAAUUUUUACAUCACCAUGCUUUGGCUUGAUUUAGUUUACCUAUCCCUAGUUUAUUACAAUAAUGACCGUAAACUUAGGAAAUAUAUGCUAAAUCUUUAAAAGAAGGGCUCUUGGGUUAUUGUUUACAACACUAUUAUGUUUUUGAAGUUCAUGGGCUUCCUAAUGAUUGUCAACUUUAUGCAACUUUAUGUUCUCUUUUCCUUGGCUUUAUUUUUUUCCUUUCUUUCUAAUGUUUGCAAUACGUUCCUUUUUUGGUUAAAGCACCUUUUUUCUGACCGUGUGUUGCCAUAUAUCAUGUAUUUCAGUUCUGAGCUGAUGAACAAGGGAUACCUUGUUUUCCCAGAAAAUCUCUUUUUGAAGCUUCCACGCCUCACAUCUGUCUUCAUAGAAUCAUGCUAACAGAGAUAAUUAACUCGGAUGUCAUAAUGCUGUUUUUGGGAAGCCACUCGUCAUCUUUCAAUUCUUCUUACUUUGGAUAUACAUCUUCCUAUUUAUGUAUCCUUAUUUACCAUAUAUAUUGCUGAAAUGAUAGUCUGCCAUAACCCAGUGCCAACAGACGACAUGCUAUUAAUAACACUGGAGUUUCUAGAUUAUCAAGGUUCCCAUCACACCAUUUAACGUGAAACUCUGUCCUCAAGAACAGUCAGCGCUUGUUGAUGAAAGAAGAGGGUGAUACAACCUGUGGCAGGCCAUUGGAAAACCUUUAGCCUAAUCGGCCUAGAAGACAGGGCAAAUAGGACCAGCCUUGACCCCUUCGCCCUGAGUGAGUAAGUUGCUAAAUUGUGGGCAGUACACAAUUAGCAGUGGAAAGAAAUAAGAUAAAGUUGUCCCCUUGGAUGGAAACUCUGGCAGUCAAAAACUAAAAAAGAGAGAGGAAGGCAUGAUGGCCCUCUUGAUCUUGAUGCUACAAUGUGUCUCAAACUCCCUCCUUGAUAUGUUUUUGUUACACUUCUUCCUUAAUCCAUCAAGGCAAAUCUUCUGAUUCCAUUUUCAUUGAAAAGGAAAAGAUGAAGACUCUAAAUGAGAGGUAACGAGCGAAAAAAUAGCAUGCCUCUUGCUUAUAUGUUGGGUCGCAUCUAGCUUCUAUUACUAGUUUUAAUUCCUAUACUGUGGCGGCUUAUAACUUGCACCUCAUUCCGUAUCCCACGAUCACCUAGUAUGUCAAAAGCCUAGGAACUUCUUAAAAUUUCUUGAAACACGGACCCAAUCUUUUUAUCAAUAGGGUAAUCCUUUAACAGAUGGUAUACACUUACACUGUCUUACAAUGGGCAUUAUGGGUAAAACCUAAUAAGUAAUUAAAGGAAAAGAAAAAGACAAAUGCCUAGUUAUGAAUAGUAUUGCACAAUUUCAUGCAGGUAUAAAAUUUUUAUUUCUUAAUAAAAUUAAAAAUUUUAAACAUUAAAGGUUAAGCAUGAUAAGUGUAGUGCCAUGAUGAUGCUAAUAAUUUUGAGUCUUCACAAGAGUUGCAUUUUUUAAUUGAUAUCUUUUAUAAUGGCAAUUCCAUGAAUAGAAACUAUUAAAUAAAAUCUGCAUGAGAUUAAAUUUUUAUCACCCCCCCUUAUUUCGGUUUCAAGGAUAUACUUUUGGUGACGGCCUAACCAUUAACGUGGAAUAUAUAAUGUUGUAUAGCAGUCAGAUUCAAAUUAUAAGUGCAGCUUUAUGGAUGAAUAUUUGUUAACUUAAUACUCAAAGUUCACAUCCUUACUUUAGAUUUAUCCACCUUUUCCCAGGUUUCGCAACUGUGCGUCAUGGAUGUUACUGGAAACAGGAUUCCUCUAAAUUCUUAAGAUGGCACUGGUAUCAAAACGGAUCAAUACAUUUAGCUACAAUCGAAUCAUAACAAGCAUAAUGGAAAAUUCGAAACUGAGGGCAGGAAUUGUGGCCGACUCAAAAUUGAAAUUAAAAACGAAGCUGAACUGAAAGCAAUGGAAAAAUAAGUCUAGCAUAUGACUGACAGUAUUUGCAUGGUUACCAGGAAUUAAGAUGACACUGCUUGUAGCGGAAAAAAAUAUAACUCAUUUGAAGUAGUGUUCAUUUGCCUCAGGAAUCUGAUGGUGGUAAUAAUUUACAUUGUUGUAUUGUGGUGUAUUUCAUAUUUGUGUUUGUAUUUAUAAAACCAUUGAUUUUAUAAAGAUUUCCAUGUAGGUUUUGUGUGUGGAUUGUAUUCUUGGUUGCUGAUCCAUUGUAAAGAUUAUUGUAUGUUUUUCUUUGGAUUUUUGUUUUGCAUGAGUUCCCUAGAUGCGAAUUCUUGUAUUAAUGACUCACAAAGAGAUUUAGUGGGUUUGAUGUCCUUGGACAAAAUUUGAGGUAGCAUUUCCUAGUUUCUUUCUGUUGAUUCUGGCUUAUACUUGCCUUUUAUGUUUAUUAACUGUUAUGCUGUGAAUUAUAAAGUUUUAAAUAUUGUAUUUCAACUCAUGUCAUAGUUAAACAACUCCUUGGCAGGUUGUCCAGUUGUGGGUGUGGGCUUUUCCGGCUCUUUAGCUAGUGUAGGUCCAAAACGUGGAGGGCACAGGUAUUGAUUUUCUGUCUGUUUAUUCGUUAGCAUAAUAGAGAAACUCCAGAUCAACUUGCUUGCACGUAAUAGUUCCGUUUGUGCACACUUCUUCACAUUCAGUUUCAAAUAACAUAUUUUACGAACUAAUUUUAAGAAUUCAUCUAGAAACAUCACGAACAUCAUGAACUAUUAUAUGCUAGUUCUACAUUUCUUUUGGUGAUUGAUUACCAAACUCUUUUUUCAAUGAUGAGCUUAUAAAGCUUGUGUAUCGAUGUCAUUAUGUUGUCAUUUUAAUAAGCAGUGAUCUUACUGCCCAUUUGGGGUAGAUAAGUAACUUGCAUCUACGAACUGUUCGUAUUGGAAGUGGAAAAUUGCGAAAACUAAUGUGUACAUGAAGGUGGUUUCAAAACUUUCUAAAGUGCCAAUUGGAGAAAAAUGUUUUUCGAUUUACGGUGGAAAGGCAUUGACUUUACGCCUUGAGUAUGCCUGAUAUGAAUUUUAUAUUUAUUUCCUAGAUGCUUUUCGCUGAUUGUCACUUAACAUUACAAGGUUUAUUUUAUGAAAUAUGCCAACAUUUUUCAUAUGCGGUCAGGAUGAGCGGGAGCUUGUUCCCUGAAUUUGUGUCUAUUUAUCGUUAAGUAGCUCUACUGCAAUCGGCCAAAAGCUGCCAACCUUCUACAUUUUGUGCAUCUUACUUCUAGAAAAAUUUUGGAGACCUGUGUAGCUAAGUGAUUUGUUCUUGUUUGGAAUGUCUACUCUUUGUCAGGGAUGGCAGGGACAGAAAUGGAUUUGUGGACUUUUCCAUACAUCAUAGUAAUAUCUAUCGAAAAAUAGUGAGAUUUUCUAUGGAUAUGUGAUGUUUUAUUGGACUAUAAAGGUCCUUGACGGAUGAAAUGAGGAUUCAUCACAGUCAACUUCUAUCGUUCUAAAUUACUCAAUUUGGUAGAAUGUGCCCUUGUGAUUACUUUAAUGGUGAUGUCCAUUUGAUGCUGUGCUCCCAAUCCUAUUCUUUAUUUUAGGACCUGAAUUCUCUUUUCUGCUUCAUCAUAGAGUAGAUUUCCGAAUUCAUGCUUAUAUCUUUGUUUUCGGAUUAUUUUCUAGUUUUUUCGAUUCAAUCUCGUCUACGUAAUUACAUUACAUGGAAUAUUUAGUGUUUUAGUAUCUGCUGCUUAAAAAAUAGGAUUACAUGAAUUUACUUUCCACUUCAUUGUCAGGACCAGAAAACAUCCGGUCAAACACGACCGUCUACUUUUCUUUUAUCCAUGAAUUCGAGUUAUUACAUUCUGUUUGCAGGUUUUUCUUAUCAACAAGGACAUCCGGUCGUCUGUGGGCAUCAAAUGUUACCUUAUGUAAGGUACUUAAUUCGUCAUCCAAACUGUCUUUCACUUUCUUUUCCUGGAAACCUUGCAAAGUUUCUGAUAUUGAUUAAUUCAUAUAGGGUCUGCGAAGUCGCGAAGAAGAAGACACGAUUUCUAGCAAAUUUUUACUGAAGGUACAAGUUACUCAAACGUACCUAUUAUUUUUUGGUAUUUAAAAAUAUUUAUUUAAAUAAAUUUCCUACCUGCCUAUUUUUUGAUCUUUGCAAGAAUUUGUAAUACCACAAGUGUUCUAAAAUUUACUCAUUUUUUGCAUUAUCACUUUUCUGACUUUUCGUGAUUUUGGAUUUGGAAAAUAAGCUUGUAAGCCAACGGGUGGUUUAUUGUUUAUAUCAUCUAAAGAGGGUAUUUUAGUUUUAUUAUCAAAUUGGUCUGGUUGUGACUUUUACCAUUUAAUUAUUUAGUUCUGAUGGCUCUAAUUUUUACCCAGAAUAGAUAAAGUUCCUGAGCUGGUGCAUACAACUGUAGUUCCUCUUCAAGUUUCUCUUGCUUGUUCAAUGCUUCAUUCACAGCUAUCAACUUCGCUAUUCCUGGAGAGAGAAGUGGGGAUGGUUUGGGUGAUUUUGUAGCUGAAUCCCAACCCAACAUUAUUACGCCGAAAAGUCCGACCUUUAACAAAAAUAAGAAUUGAAGGUAGACUUGAACCAGAAAAUUAAUGUGUCCGAACUCAACCCAUGCUACAGGCAUAUGCAGCAUUUCUUGCACUACAUUCUCAAUCCCUAUAGAAUUCUUUAGAUUUAUCUUAUUAUUACAAUUAGGUAGUCAUAUUUGCCAAACAAAGAUAAAGCAUUCCAAUUUGAGGGAAGAGAUUUUGUACACAGAAUACUGACACUCUAUGCUUCUACUUCCUACUCACUCUUGUCCUUCCAGUCUGAGGUGAUUCUACUGUGUGUUUGUCAAUUUUUCUUCUCUUUGAAGGUCCGUGCCAUGGUUUAAAAGUUAACCACUUUUCAAUCGACAGUUCAACUGAUGGCUUUAGUUAGUGUUGAUUUCUCUGGGAAGCCUCUGGAGGCACGAUAAUGAACACUAUGGAACAUUUUCAUAUUCGUUUACAAAACAUUUCAUGUUCAAAUCAUACAUUGUAAAGUUUUAAGUCAUGCCCAAAGUUGCAUCUUUAACAUGAUAUUUUAGAUAUUCGUUCUCUUUUCUUGUUUUCAAAAAAUUGGAUAUGCUUUUUUUUUCCUUUUGAUUAUUUCAUAGCAUUUCAAAUGGUUUCUCUCCUCUUGUUUAACAUAAUAUUGGUUUGAACUUUCUUCCUCGUGUUCUUAUCAUAAUACUUCUUUUUGUGCCUAUUAUGUCUAAGGCUAUUGCAGAUGCAUGCCAAGUUUGUGGUACUUCUGACAAGGAACUAACUGAAACGGAAGAUUCACAUGAAUUGGAAAAGCUGUUUGACGAGGAUCAAGAGUUACAGCAGCUUAUAAAUGGGGAAAUAUGCAUGAAAGCAUAUUCAUUUGGUAAUUAUUCAAAGAUUCCAAUGAGUUAUGUCUACAUGAGAAUAGUUAAGUUUUCCGUUUUGGAGAUAGAUCUUCUUAUUCAGCCGCAUGAACUUGCAGAUACUUGUACGUACAGUUCAGAUCAAAAGAUUAUACUUUCAGGAUCAUUUAAUCCAUUACAUGAUGGACACCUAAAGCUUUUGGAAGUGGCAUCAAGGUUAACAAUUAAUUUUAUGCUUCCGCAGAUAGAUGCAUGCAAGUUAAUUGGAGAUCCUUAGUAUUUGUCUCGAUCAUUUCAGUUGUAAAGAAAAAAGCUGGAUCUUUUUCAGGAUUUUCUUCAAAGACAAAAUUCAUCUGCCAUAUGGAUGAGACUCUAUCUUGAUGAUGACCAAUUAUUAUUGUGACAUCAAAAAAUUUAGCUACAUAUAGACACCUGUUUAUGAUUCUAUCAUGAAGUCAUCUCUUCUUACCUAAUUAACAAUGUGAGAACAUGCAUGAUUAUGAAAUAAUAAACUUGUUAUAUCUCUUUUAUAUCAGCUUUUUAACAUUCUAACUAUUUUUUAUUUUCUGUAGUAUGCUUUGCAAUAGGGUUCCGUGCUUUGAGAUAUCAGUUGUAAAUGCGGAUAAACCACCAUUAUCAAUAGUUCAGAUCAAAGAGCGAGUGAAUCAAUUUAAGAAAGCUGGUGUGUUCUUUUCUUUCGCUACUUGUUUAGUGCAACAUAUUUAGUUUUAAUUUGAAUGAUUGAUAAUGAUUAAUAUUUUAUAGGAUUUUUUACAUUCUGUGUAUUUUGUUUAGAUUUACGUCUAGUAUUCUCACUUCUAUUUAAAAGACCAGAUCCAAUGUGAGAUACAUUCUUCAUAAGAAAUGUUGGCCCAGGCAUGAUCAUUGGCACUAAAACUAAUAUAAUGAAACGAAAAACAUAAAUCGAUAUGAUAAUUUAAAAAUACUAAAUAUUAAAUAUUAUGGAAAAAUUAAGACUGUGUAACAGAAACCAAUAAAGGUUUAAAAUUCAGGUCAAUGAUUGUUCUCUUAUAACUCAUAACCAUGAAAUGUAAGAGCAGGCGAUCGUCAAAAAAGUAUCGGUAACGCAUGAGCAGACAACCUUGCUUAAAUACCAUGUAGAAACGUCAGCUGUCAGAUUACAAACUUCACCAUUUAUGAAUUAAAUAGUAAAUAAUAGGGAAUAAUUAAUACUGUGUUGCCAUAAACCAUCAAAGUUUAAAAUCCAGGUCAAUGAUUGUUCUUUUAUAACUCAUAACCCCGAAAAUGUAAAAGAAGACAAUUGAUGAAAGUAGUAUCAGUAAAGCGUUGGCAAACUAUCUUGAUUAAUAACAUGUACAAAAGUCAGCUGUCAGGUUACAAACUUCAUUAUUCAUGAACUAUUUCUGUUUUCGCAUAGUACAUUCUUUAAGAUGCUCAAUGAUUGGAUUACUGACUUCCCAUGUUUCGCAUUGAUAAUAUUAUAUAAAUUGCAUGCCAAGUUUUAGAUUACUCAUUUUAUCACAUCUACAUUUCUAUUUUUUUCACAAAUAUGUUCAAGGCAUUGCCUAAAUGAUGCAUUGCCCCAGGCUUCUAGGUUCACCAGUUGAGAACCUGCUUGGGUGCUCGCCAAAGUUGCCUUACCUCUGUUCUCCAACUCAUAUUGUUGUCAUCGUAGCUGCAAAAAACUAUUUGCUCUGUUCCAUGGCACAUGCUGUUUAACUGCAGUUGAAUGGACGCCAUGUAAGCACAAUCUAGUGGUGAUUUAAACCGUUAAGAUGAUAUUUAUUGCAUAUAUUAAUAUUUUAUAAAAAAUUAUUUAUUAAAUGGAGUUAAUUGUUUUAAAAAAUCGUGUUUACUUAUUGUUCUGAUUUAUAUUAGUUACUUUAAUAUUUAGAUAUUCCACGCGUAAAAUGUUGCUUUAUUUUAAGAAAACGGAAUCUAUUCAUAUAGCUUAAAGGAACAAUGACUGUCACUCAUUCAAAUUAUUUAUUUUAGAUUUUUGUAUGGUAUCAAUGCUCUUUGACACCCAAAGAUAUUCUUUUAUAGCCAAAGAGAAAAUACCUAGUUCACUGACUGUUAUUGAUUGUUUCUUCUACAGUUUAACAAUAAAUUAGAGGUUCUUGCCUUCUUGGGUUCAUAAGUUUACUGUCUGGAGAAUUCAACAGUUUGAUUUGUAUAUGUGUAAACUAUGCGAUAAUUAAGUAAUUUUCGUAGUACCAUGGUGAUUCGUUUCUCUACGCAGGGAAGACAGUGAUUCUAACAAAUCAGCCGUAUUUCUACAAAAAGGCUGAGUUGUUUCCUGGUAGUGCAUUUGUUAUUGGUGCAGACACUGCCGCACGGCUUGUUCAUGUAAGAAAUCUGAACUUGCUGUGUGUGUUGUUCAGACAAUACCACUAGAGGCAUGUAUGCUCGUUUUUGUCUAUACUUCAUGGGAUUGAUAAUUAUCAUUUUGCUAUAUAUAUAAUGAUUUUCAACCCUUCAUGUUUUUCUUUCUUUGUUAGACCCAUUAUAUAUAAAAUUGUUUUGCACUAUAUGAUGAGAUGGAUUGCUUUAAAAAUAUACUACUAUGCUCGUGAGUAUGGGUAGAAAUAACAGUACGAUGUUAGCUAUUGUCAUACAUUUACUCUUGUUGUUGAUAUGAAAAUGGUUAAAACCCUUUUUGCACUUGUUGUCUCUAAAUUAUAGCCCAGAUUUCAAAUGGGUACAAAAAAUACCUUUUUAAUGGUGACGUGAACGAGGAAGUGUUCAUGACGUGGCAAUUGGGAAUAACAUGGGACUCAUCACACUUUAUUUCAAGCAUGAUUGGUAUGCUCGGACAGAGUCAUUGAUUUGAGGACUACCGUUCUACAUUCAUAAUUUUAAUGCAGCCAACAUGAUCCGUCUCUCUUUUGAGAAUGGUCGUCUAGUGGUCUUGCUCUUCUUAUUACAUAAGUUAAUGGUACGUUGAUUGCUGUGGAUGAUUCCACGAAACGGGGCAUGUUAAAAAAAUUUUCAAUAGUCAUUUGGGAUAAAAGAUGUGGGCUAUUCAUUCACUUCUUGGGUGAAGCGCAUAGAUCUCCAGUUCUAUUCUUUUUGAAUCACCGCAUUCUUGCAAAAUUUGAUUUAUGUCGCUUGAUCAGAGAACAUCACUGAACUUAAUUCACGUAUGGAAACUAAUCUUUGGUUGAAAACUUAAGAUCACUUUCUAACUUUUGUAACCUUUCUUAUCUUUUAAUUUUACCGGACCUGGUAUUUCCUAUACCAUAAAUAGAACUUUUAAUUCUUUGUCAUUUACACUUUACUGGUAUUCGUAAGAUUGCUGACUACCUGAAAGGCACUCCUAAUCAUGGAUUGCUCUUCCCAAGUGGGUCUCUUCAAUCCUUGAGUCUAUAGGCUGUUGCAGAUUUGUGUUGCUAUCCUAAUCUGAGAUGGUUUUCAUUGAUUGGUGUGGCUGAUAUGACAUUAUCUGAUUUCAUGGAAGUUCAAGAAACAAGAUUGGGUUACCAAGCUGUUAAUUGAAAUUGAAUGUAGAGCCGUGUACGAAACACGCUUUGAGGUCAUCUGAUUGUGUGGUUUACUUCUAAAAUUAGGUUUCCUUCUUAAUUGUGCUGACUUCUUUACAUGCUAACAACACAAGUGCUAUUCAGAUUGCUGAAAAUACUUGUUUCACAAGUGCACAAAGCACGUUGAAAUCAAUUAGUAUUACAUUUCGUGGCACUUUGAAAGACUCAUCUCUACUAUAUUUACCUUAUAAGGAGCAGAUUGUGUCUCUCUUCACAGAGGCUUCGAUAUCUGAUCUGCAUCAACCUCUUUCCACCGAAACAGAUGUCUUCUCGAAGCCUUUGAUAUUUGAUCAGCAUCAAUCACUCUCCUCCGAAUUCCUUCUAAAAGAGUCAGCAUCAGUUUUAGGGAGAGUUGGAAUGCGCUCCAUGUAAUAUGGGAUAGAAGGAGAUUUAAUGCUGUUAAUAAUGAGCAACUGGUUGGUUUCUGUUUUUAACCUUUACCCUAUUUAGGGAGAGUUGUGUCCACCUGUAUUCUAUUAUUGCUUGCUUCUGUAAAAUAUUAGUUCACUCUUUUGUUUAUACAAAGUCCAUAAAGAGGCUCUGAGAUCUCAUAUUGGGGCAGGACGCUAUGAUCCAUUGAUCUUAUCAUGUUUCUCUUUGUCCACUGUCAUCUUCUCACCAUUGGCACCGACUCUUUCCUCACAUUGCUAGCUGUAGUCCUGUUCAGAGCUAAGAUGGUAAUUACAAGGUCACCACAUCAGCUCAUCUUCCAUUAAGUUUGUACCUGCUUUUGAAUGUGGCAUAUUAUCCUGUUUACAUAAUAUAGAGCUGUUCUGGCUCUAUUUAGUCUCUUCAGUUAUUGAGUGAAUGCUGAGAGAAGCUGGAGCUGAGUGUCUGCUUUUCUAUUUACCGUGCAAGUCCCGUCACCGAAAUUGGGUUGACCAGAAUAUCGUUGCCUCUUUUCCUCUUCUGGUGGACUCAUCCCUCCUGUCUCAACGUUCUUCUUUUUCCAUUCAUUACAUGUGCCCUUGUGUGGUGCUGUGGGUGAGCAGAAAGCCUGACCAUAACCCAAUCCUGAGAUUGGGCUCUGCAAUCUGGCUUUCUGAUGCCAUGGGCAUUGUUUCUAUCUAUCUUUGGUCCCAAUACCACACCUUGGUUGAGAGGAGACUCAAUUUGUAGCUAGAAUACAUAUUCUCGGAGAAAUUAGACCAUUCCCUGAUGGUAGAGGUCAUGGAUGAUGCCUUGGUCAGCAGAGGAGAAGACAACAGAAAACAGAGACAGGCAUAGGUGGACAUCAAUCCACCGUGUAGGGAUAUUUUUGCCUCCCAAAUCCUGCCAUGCCCUCUUUAAUGUAACCAGUCAGGCACCUAGCUUAAUCACUACUAGGUUCUAUUUUCAGUUUUUUCUGGUUAUUUUAACUGCUCGAUUUAUUCUUUUUUUGCAUCAGUUAUGAAUGUGGAUACUACGUAAUUCGCUGCUUAUUCCUCUAACUAGAUGAGGUUGAGGGUUGUAGCAUGAAAUAAUUUUCUGUAGAUCUAUCAGUCCUUAUGUAAAUUUCUGUCCCUAUUCUCAUUCUUUGUGGAAAGCUCUCUCUUUUAGAUUCUGGGGUGAAAUCUUUUAUGAACUCAUACCUGUCUUUUUCAGCCAAAAUAUUAUGGAGAAAGCUAUCACCAGAUGAUUGAAAUCCUGAAUGGCUGCAAAAGAUUAUCUUGUACAUUCCUCGUUGGUGGUCGGAAAAUUGAUGGCGAUUUUAAGGUGUGUCAUAAUGAAGUGACCUCAAAUAUUGUCAUUUGACAUCACAGAAAAGACCUUAACAAAAUGUUUAUUUAUCAGGUUCUUGACGAUUUAACUAUUCCAGACGAACUGGUGGACAUGUUCAUCUCGAUUCCCGAGGACAGGUUCCGAUUGGAUAUAUCAUCGACAGAGAUAAGAAAAAACCAUGGAAUUUGAGUCCAUUCCUACUUCUAGCUUUGGAAUGUGCCCUUUUGAUGCGUUAUUGUAUGCAUCAUUUUAUCCUUGUUUCUCCAAUAUUUCUGCUUUCAUCUGUUGAAUGGAGUAUCCCCCGCUAGGCCUUGGUACACUUUCAUUAGCUUCACUUGAAAAUCACUAGUUGUCUUAUGGGAAGUUACACCUGUGUGACCUAAGUGCGUCACCACCUGCAGCCAUUGAACGAAGUUUAGUACACCAUAUUUUGCAUUACUUACCUUACUGUGCGAUCUUAUCUUGUGAAAAAUUCCAUCUAUUUGACAUGUACAUAUAUCAUACCAGUAAUAUUGAAAUCUUAUGAGGAAAAUAGUUAACUGUGUUCUGUAAAUAGGGAUCACCUACAGGUUUUCAUUUAUUCUUCCCAGCAAGUUAAAAUACCAUAACAUAUUGUACUGAGGAUUCCAUCUUUGAUUGACUACAUCACAGGUACUGUGUUUAUACGUCCAAAUAGUAGAUUCAUCAAUAUAUAAGUUUGUCCUAUUUUCCUAUUUGGUUUAUUCUUGAUUCCUAACUUGGCAGUUUAACGCAAAUAUGGAAUCCUAGUUAAUUUCACCACACUUUCUCUCUUUUAGUAGUGUGGUAUGGCACUUCACUAUAAGCCUACUUACAAUAUCUUUUUUGCACCUUUCAAUCUUCACUGGGUUAAUUAGUCUCUACGAAGAAGUUUUCUGGCACCAUUAAUUUCCUGUAAUCUGCUCAAUUUUUGUUUGAGUAGAGUUUACAUGUUAUAAUAGCCUUCUUUAGUUCAUACUCUAGAACUCUUUGUCGUAUUGUGGGCAAUCUUCAUUAUCCUCAAGUGUGAUAAUGAAUGGGCUAUUACAUCUAGUGCCCAAUAACUCAAGUUCAUCCAUCUUUCUCAUUGCCUACCAGUGUACAACCAUGCUCUCGUGAAUCUUACGGUACUUGGAACUAGGGAAUCUUCAGAAACAUCCUACUGUUGUUGUGUGCCUUCUCAAGAAGACUCUCUUUAGAGCUGCACGGUAAGCUAUCAGUUAAAUAAUAUAGUGGGAACUUAUUCCAUGCUUCUUCUUUAUGGUUGCCUCAUCCUCAAUGGUGCCUUCUUGUAGCUUCAUCCUCCGAUAUGGUCUCCUUGCAAUGGACCACACUAUAUCUAUGAUUUGGGUUUUCAAUUGGUCCAUCAUGAAAUUUUAUCAUGGAAAGGACUUUGAAAUGUAAAUCUUGUUAAUGAGCCAUGCUAAUAUGUGAGAAAGUAAAGCUACACCCAGUGAAAAACCAAUACUAAUACCAGAUGAAGACUUAAAAGUUGUUCAAUCACCGUAAAAUUACAUUGAGAAAAUUCUAUUAUGUUUCAGCCCAAUAUAAGCAAUGUGAGGCAAACUGAUUAGUACCUCAAAAUUUGAGGCUCGUGGCCUGAAGGGAUAAAAAUAUUGACUACAAACAUCUGAAGGCCCAACAUGACUUGAAGCCUAAUAUCCAAGCCAAUGGCCCAAAAUUAUGUAAAUAUUUUUGCCUAAAACUUGCAACCUAGGUGGCUUGAAAGAGUAAAAAAGUGGACUACAAGCAUCUAAAGACUCAAAAUGACUUUCAGUCCAAUAUCUAAAUAGUUAGGUCCGAAAUGUGUAAGAAAUUAUAGAAUUGUAAUUGUUCUAUUUUUCAGUAGCUUUGAUAUGAAGGUUUAAAAUUCAUCUAAUUUAUUGUGAUUGUUAUCAAGUCAAGAGGUGAUAAAUAGUAAUAUUGUCUUUCUCUUUGAGAUAUUUCUAUUUUCUUGUGCAAUCAAGCAAUCCAUAUUUAAAUAAGAAACAUUAGGUUGAUUCUUAUGGAUUCAAGAAUUGUGAAAAAUAAAUCCUCAUUGAUUGAGAAAUUUGGUACCUCAAGGAUUCAAGGCCUGAUUUCUUUACUUCUUCAACUUUCUCUAUGCCAAUUAGUUGUCUUUUAGAGAUGAUAAUUUGAAUUUCAAUAAAUAUAUUUUGAAAUUUAUUCAAAUGAAUUGAAAUUUAUCUAAUCUUUAAAUAGAGUUAAAACAUAGCUUAGAUAUCAAGUUCAAUCUUGCAUUUAAGGGGGAGGUAUUUAAAUUUUUAAUUGGAUAAAAGGUUUUAUUUUUUUCAUAUUUCUUGUAGCCCUAACUUAUUUUUAAAGUUGACAUGAGUGUAAAUUUUAUUUGUGUAUCCUUUAAAUUUUAUUUAUAUUUUAGUUUUUGGUAAUAAGGCAUUGACAUUUUGAACUGAAUUUGUUCAUGAUGUGUGAAAGGUUGAUUCUUUAUAUUCUAGGUUUUCUUUGGAAACUAAGUUGUUAGCCAUUCUUUUUAGUCAAUCACUAAUAUUAUAUAUAUGAAGUUUGUCAACAUUAAGAGAAAGUAAUGUAGUUAAGAGUUUUUAUAAAAUGUAUGGAUCAUUUCAAGCAAACAUCAAUACAAAUAAAGUAAGCAUGUCUUCAUAAAAUUUCAGGGCAGUAUUAAACAUUUUUUAUUGUAGAAAAUUAUCUUAAACCCUAGAGAGAUGAAUCAGAACAUUCUAAUAAAACCAUCCAUAGUAUGUUCAUGUGUACUUGUUUUUCAAAUUUUUUUACUUAUAAUUAGGCAUCUUGAAGUUUGGUAUGUACCUGUAGCUUUUUACAUCAUAUCUAAAAGUUGGUAGAGAGGAGAAUGAAUUUCAAAAAUAGCAAAGAACAAGAAAAUUUUCUACUAUGUUGUGGAGAAAAUCAAGAGAAUCCUAAUUAUAGAUAAAAUAUUGUGAAAAAAAUCAAAAUGAAAUCAAGAAAAAUAACAAUGUCUAUGAGAGAAGUUACAAAUGAUGAUGGGAAAUCUAUUACAUAAUUCUUCUCUCUUCUCCAAUAAGAUUCUUAACAUUGAAAAAGGAUCUUAGAGUGUGCCAGGAAGGCUUCUUAACGUCUUCUUUUUUCUUCCCAUCGGAGUUUUUUCACAAAGACUCGCCAUAGUAAGGGGGAAGGGUGGAACAAGCAAAGCACACUUGUAGAGCGCAGUACAGCGGAGAUGUCCAAUACUAUUUGGUAGCCUUUUCUAUUAUUUAAUUUAGUAUAAUGUCUACUAUUUCUUCUCUUCCUUUGUCAACCACUUAUUUACUAAGGGGUUGUGCCAAGUGUUAAUCCUAUCUAAAUAGCACAUCAUGGG